CACUACGAGGUGCAGGCCACCGAGCGCUCCGAGAUGGGCUUCGACGUCAUCAGAGAGCGCGCGCAAUGAGCGAGCUUGCUGCCGGGAGUGAGUUUUAUGUCUGCAGUCUGCGCGACGAUCGCCGCUGUACUAUAAUCGGACGGACGCUGAUUGGGGCUGGUUGGGUGUGCUCUGCCGGCAGCCUCGAUGCAACCUGACGAGGGUUUGGGCUUUGAUUUAGAAAAAUUAUCCGUGGUUUGAGAUUGUGCCGUGUGAUGUAUAGGCGGAGCUGAGAGAGUGGCAGCGGAUUAAUGAAACGUCCCAUCUCUGCGUGCGACGUGGAAAUUCCACUGACGCUGGGGAUGCCCCGACUUCGUUUGCUAUUGUGCUUCAACACUUCAACCGUUCAAGAUAGUACUACUACGGUUGAUUGCUUUAGACUGCCUCUUGGUCUGGUGGAAUUAUUGUUCCAGGUGUUCUUCGCCUCUGUUACGCCCAACUCAAAGCGGAAUUUGUAAGGACACGGGAGGCUCUUCUUCAGAUUUUUGCAAGGAACUAGAAGGAGCCGCGCGGUUUUUCCGUGGCGGCGUGUAUUUUUCCUGCGCCAAAUCUAAAACAUGGGCAUCACGGAGACAACAUAAUUUUCUCUCUUAUAAAGAUCUUUAUUAUGUUUAGAGAAACAAUUAAAGCGCAUUCCUAGGACAAAAGCAUACACCAAUCUUCGUAUACUCAAACUGUAAAAGAAAAUCAUAAUUGUCGUCAAAAUAUAUCUUCUUUUUUUACCCUAUAGGUAGAUCAACUUGAACACAUUUCGUUUGGUGUGAAGAGAAAGUUUUGACAUUCAUCAUAUCUACUCUAGCAUCAAGCAACUUACUGUAUCUCAGUAGCUGCAACUCUAGCAUACCAUCUUUUUUUAUUUUUUAUUUGAAAGAUCCAGCAGCUGGCUGGCUUGUAUUGAUCAUAGCAGGAAGCACAUGGGAAAUACAAAAGGUGGAUUUUGAUCAAAAGAUAAGGAGAAAAAUAGAAAACUUCGCCAUCGGUGACCAACAAGGUUGUUUUGUCAGGCAAACGACUGAAACACCUAGCUAUCUAGCGGAUAUCUCUUGCCAAAACCCCGAAGGGUGGCUCAAUGUGCUUUACUCCUGCUUGACACCAAAGAUCAAGAUCCCUGUUGACGGCCUGAACAUCCAAACCAAUUUUUACUCUGAAGGUGCACUCGUUUCUUUCCUGCCAAAUCCUCCAUAAGAUGAUCAUAGUUAGUGUCUUGAGGGCCUUUAUGUGGGUAGGCUGGGCAACUGUGUUCAUGGUCGAUGAAUAACCAUCAAUGAUUUCUUGGAGUUCCAGUUUUGCUCAGCGAUCCAACCCAAAGAGCUGCCUUAUUCUAGACAACUUUGGCAAUCUUGCACUCCCAGAAUAGGUGGUAUGAGGAUUCAAGGUUGCGAAGGCAGCAUUGGCAAAAAUAUCCGUUGGGCCAACCUCUUCGUUGUAAUCUAUCAUUGCACCAAAGCCUAUUCUUGAUCAUCAACCAGGCAAAAAUAUUGUGCCGGGCCGGAGCCCAGGGUUUUCAGAUGAGUUGCUUAUAGACUGUCUUCAUGUGGCCCUCAAAUUGCAUUUUAUAUGCAGAUGUUGUGCUGAAAGUUCCAUCAGCAAAGAAACGCCAGUAGAUGGUGUCCCGCCGAUCAUCCUAAAAUUGGAUGUCCCUAGAGUUGAACCAUCUUCUCAAGUCAAUGAAUUCAGUCAGAACAAGGUUUAUGUCUCUGUGCGCAAGGUUGACAAUCCAUUUGUGACCAGAGAGGGCAGCCAUGACACUUCUGUUUUUCCUUCUUGAGUUCUUAAACAACAUCGAGAAUGUUACCUUCAAUGGCACGGUACCUGUCCAAGAGAUGCACCAGAACGAUGCCAUCUUGCCGUCGCCCAGGGUCACAGUUGUGGAUGCAUUGAAUAGUGACAUGUAAUCUUUAGAGCAUGGUAGUUCGGACCCUACCCAUGGCCGUUCUGGGUGUGUCCAGGCGUGCCAGAACCAUCAUAGCCUUAAAGCUGAACUGAAUUUUUGCAGAUUGCUGAUGCCGAGACCCCCUUUGCUCAAUGGGUGUACAGACUGUGGGCAAGUUAACCUUACAUUUGCCACUCGAGAGCUCUUCAUCUUGCGCCCAUAAAAACCUUCUGAAAGCACAAGUGCUCCCUGGGUGAUUUUGGUAAUUAAUGUCAACAUAUCUCUUGUUGGACUAAUACUUUUACCUAGUAUGUUUCAGAUAAGUUCAACAAUGGAGUGGCAUGGACUAGAGGAUGUGGAACCCCUUCAGAAUGCUAAGGACAAAGGAUUGACUCAAGCUCAAAGCACAAGACUCUACAUUUUACUUUUAGUGAUCCAAGAUCACAUUGAGUCCAUAGGAAAGCCAAUACUAUUAAGAGGGGAUGAGGUGUUGCUUAAUGACUUGCUUGCUCAAAGUGCUUAGUGAUAUGCUCCAAAGCCCUCAACCACUUUCUCACAUCCACAUAUGUCCCAAACCAUCUAUCCGGCGCCAUCGAGUUCUGUUGACAUAGCCACUGCCAGAAACCCUAGUCUUUUCGGUCUCACCGAUAGGGAUCUCGGUCUCACCGAGAUGGGAUUGUAAUAUCUCUGUUGCCCUUCGUAACAUUUCGGUCAAACCGAGAUAAGCGAUCGGUCCUACCGAGAUUGCAAUGCAAACUCUCUGUUCCCCUUCGUGACGUUUCGGUCCAACCGAGAUGAGCGAAUCGGUCCUACCGAGUUUGCCUGACCAACCCUCUGUGUGUCUAUUACCAAAAUCGGUCUCACCAAGAUUACGUUAUGCCCUAACCCUAACCAUAUCGGUCCCACCGAGUUGACAUGUUGGUCCCACCGAAACUCCUAAUGGUCACAUUAUUUACUAAAUCGGUCCGACCGAGUUUCACGAUUUGGUCCCACCGAGUUUGGUAAGUUGUGUGUAAUGGUUAAAUUUUGUGUGGAGGCUAUAUAUACCCCUCCACCCACUCUUCAUUCGUGGAGAGAGCCAUCAGAACAUGCCUACACUUCCAACAUACAUUUUCUGAGAGAGAACCACCUACACUUGUGUUGAGGUCAAGAUAUCCCAUUCCUACCACAUGAAUCUUGAUCUCUAGCCUUCCCCAAGUUGCUUUCCACUCAAAUCUUCUUUCUACCAAAUCAAAAUCCUGUGAGAGAGAGUUGAGUGUUGGGGAGACUAUCAUUUGAAGCACAAGAGCAAGGAGUUCAUGAUCAACACACCAUUUGUUACUUCUUGGAGAGUGGUGUCUCCUAGAUUGGCUAGGUGUCACUUGGGAGCCUCCGUCAAGAUUGUGGAGUUGAACCAAGGAGUUUGUAAGGGCAAGGAGAUCGCCUACUUCAUGAAGAUCUACCCUAGUGAGGCAAGUCCUUCGUGGGCGAUGACCAUGGUGGGAUAGACAAGGUUGCUUCUUCGUGGACCCUUCGUGGGUGGAGCCCUCCGUGGACUCGCGCAACCGUUACCCUUCGUGGGUUGAAGUCUCCAUCAACGUGGAUGUACGAUAGCACCACCUAUCGGAACCACGGCUCAAAAAUCUCCGUGUCUCCAAAUUGUGUUUGCACACUCCAAUCCCAUCCCUUUACAUUCUUGCAAUUUGCAUGCUUUACUUUCCGCUGCUCAUAUACUCUUUGCAUGUUUGCUUGAUAUGUAUUGUGAAUGUUAAACUUGUGCCAAAACUCCACUUCAACUUAAAGAAACUAAAACUGCAACUUUUCUUGCUUAGAGUCUAUUCACCCCCCUCUAGACACCUCUUCUCAAUCCUUUCAAUUGGUAUCAGAGCUUUGGUCUUCAUUGCUUUGGUUUAAACACCAUUGGAGAAAGAUGGAUGAGUCUACUUUGGGGAGUCUUAGACAUAGAGUGCCUAUACUUGAUGGAGAGUAUUUUCAUGAGUGACAAAAUGAGAUGCUUGUGAUUUUCAAUGAAUAUCAUUUGAACAAGUACAUUACUAGCCCUUGUGCACCUCAUGUUGAUCCUAUGCAUCCUACCCUUGAUGUGUCAACUGAUAUGAUUCGCAAUCUUAAAACUGUUAAUCUUAUCACCAGAGGCUUGUCUAGAAACUUGAUUGGAUGUUUGCCUACUCUUGAUUGCGCCUACACUAUAUGGAAAUUUCUUGAGGAACGUUUUCCAAAUUAUUCCUUGCAAAAUCUAGAUGAAAUUCUCCAUAAGUCUAUUGCCUUGAGUAAGAUGAAUUCCAAUGAUCCUAAAUUUGGUGAUUGUCUAUUUGAGCUUACAAAUCUUAUGCGUGCCAAAGGAGAUGUUGGAAUUAUUAGCGAUAUUAUUUCCGAAGCUAUUAGAAUUCAUAAAGAAGAUCAUUGUCAAACUCAUUCUAACAAAUAACCCUCUCUAGGAAUUGAUCCAUCACAUGACGAUGUUGAACAUGGAUACGAUGAUGAGGAUGAUGAUAGUGACUUUGAUCUUGAUGAUGCAAUGAGACACUUUGGUCUUAUGGCAAAUCUUCGGGGAUACAUGGCAGGAGGAAAGGAAUGGGUUGUUGAUAGUGGAUGUACCGAUCACAUGACCAGAGAUAAAGAUAUGUUUCGUGAGCUUGCUGAAAACGACGGCCCUCGAAAGUAUGUCACUUUUGGUGACAACUCAAAGGGUAAGGUGGUUGGCCUCGGUAAGGUGGCCAUCUCACAUGAUAGCUCCAUACAAAAUGUCAUGCUAGUUGAAUCUCUUGGGUACAAUUUACUUUCAGUAUCUAGACUUGCUGAUUUCGGUUUCAAUGUCCUAUGUACUGAAGUAGAUUGCCAAGUGUUUCGUAGAGAUAAUCAUAAAAUGGUCUUUACCAGUAUAUGUAGAGGUGAUCUUUACAUUGUUGAUUUCACUAAAAAGGCUCAACCUAGAACUUUCUUCAUUGCUAAAUCCUCUAAAGGCUGGUUAUGGCAUAGACAGUUAGGUCAUGUGGGCAUGCGAAACCUUGACAAGCUUAUUAAAGGAAAUCAUAUCCUUCGCGUUAAUGAUGUCAUAUUAGAUAAGGAUAGACUUUGCAGCGCUUGUCAAGCAGGUAAACAGGUUGGAGGAAGGCAUCCUGUGAAGAACAUCAUGACCACAAGGAGGCCACUCGAGCUACUUCACAUGGAUCUUUUCGGUCCCAAUGCUUACAAAAGUCUCGGUGGAAAUUCUUUUGGUCUAGUUAUAGUCGAUGACUUUUCAAGAUUUACGUGGGUGUUCUUUCUCGAUGAUAAAUCACAGGUCCAAAAAAUCUUCAAAAAGUUCCCUAGGAAGGCCCAAAAUCAAUUUGAAGUGAAGAUCAAGAAGGUUCACAGCGACAACGGAACGGAGUUCAAGAACGCAAAUGUGGACACCUUUCUUGAUGAAGAAUGGAUUUCACAUGAGUUCUCGGGUACGUACACACCUCAACAAAAUGGCAUUGUUGAGAGGAAGAACCAGAUGCUCAUCGAAAUGGCGAGAACGAUGCUUGAUGAGUACAAGACGCCAAAGCACUUGUGGGCGGAAGCGGUUGAGACAGCUUGCCAUGCAACAAAUCGCUUGUAUCUUCGCAAGCUACUCGGCAAGACGGCAUACGAGCUCCUCACCGGUAACAAACCCCAAGUUGGAUACUUUCGAGUAUUCGGCUCAAAGUGUUACAUUCUUGAUAAGCAUCGUCGUUCUAAAUUUGCUCCUAAAUCUCAUGAAGGUUUCCUACUUGGUUAUGGCUCAAACUCUCACACUUACCGUGUCUACAAUAAUUUCACCCUAAAGGUUGAAGAGACGGUAGAUGUGAAGUUUGAUGAAUCUAACGGCUCGCAAGUACAGCAAUUGCCAAUUGAUGUAGGAGACAAAGACCCUUCAGAAGCAAUCUAAGACUUGUCUAUCUGCAAGAUUCAUCCAACGGAGGUGAAGGAGAGUACCUCGUCCAUCCAAGUGGAAGCUUCCACCUCACGACAAGGUGAACCAAGAGUUGAUACGGAAGCAUCCACGAGUGGGACACACCAAGACGAAGAAAACGAGGAAGUACACCAAGAUGAACAUCAACAACCUCCUUCUCCACCACGACAAGAGAAUGACAACGUCAACAAUGAAGAAGGCCAAGAAGAAGAACAAGAUGAAGAAGAUGUUCCACCAAGAUCCAAGCAAAAGCUUUCAUGAGUUCGAGCAAGAGUUGCCAAAGACCAUCCCGUCGAGAAAAUCUACAAUGAUAUCCAAACUGGGAGAAUCACUUGCUCUAAAACUCGUUUAGCUAACUUUUGUGAACAUUAUUCAUUCAUCUCUAGCAUUGAACCUAUGAAGGUUGAAGAAGCAUUGGAAGAUCCGGAUUGGAUAAACGCCAUGCAUGAAGAGCUAAACAACUUUCAGAUAAACCAAGUUUGGACAUUGGUUGAGAAGCCCGACAACAACCACAACAUCAUUGGUACCAAAUGGGUGUUUCGCAACAAGCAAGAUGAAGAUGGACAAGUAGUUCACAACAAAGCAUGUCUCGUCACCCAAGGCUACACUCAAGUCGAAGGUAUGGACUAUGGUGAGACAUAUGCCCCCGUUGCUAGACUUGAGUCCAUUCGCAUCUUACUUGCCUAUGCUAAUCACCAUGAUAUCACCUUGUACCAAAUGGACAUUAAAAGUGCUUUUCUAAAUGGUGAAAUAGAGGAGGAAGUUUAUGUUAAGCAACCUCUCGGCUUUGUCAAUCCUAAGAAACUUAAUCAUGUUUACAAACUUCACAAAGCUCUUUAUGGUCUUAAACAAGCUUCUAGAGCGUGGUAUAAAUGCUUGACCAAGUUCCUUAUUGAAAAAGGCUUUGAAAUUGGAAAAAUUGAUUCUACUCUUUUUACUAAAAGGGUUAAUGGAGAACUAUUUGUAUGCCAAAUCUAUGUUGAUGAUAUUAUAUGGGUCUUUUACAUCUGUGUCCCUAACUCGAACCACCUAAUCAGAUAUACCCCUAAUUCGAAAGCCUGCUCAAAAAUGCCCCUCCGCCGUUAUGUGCACUUAUAAAAAUGCCCUUCCGCUCCGUUACCGUCCGGUCAAAGGCCUUUGACCGUAAACGGGACAUUUUCUGGACAUUUCUGCCCCUCCCUCCAUGUGUCACUUACGUGUGGGACCCACUCAAACAAAAAUAAAAAGAAAAGGCUCUAUCUCUCCUCUCUCUGCCUAUCUCAUCUACAUGUAGGACCCACCCUAAAAAAAUCUUUCCUGUCUCUCUCUCUCAACUCUGGCGGGGGCGCACGCAACUAGCAGUAGCCUCGCCGGGGUGAGGUGCUGCACGGCUCCGGCCCCUUAUGACCUCCUCGAUUNNNNNNNNNNNNNNNNNNNNNNNNNNNNNNNNNNNNNNNNNNNNNNNNNNNNNNNNNNNNNNNNNNNNNNNNNNNNNNNNNNNNNNNNNNNNNNNNNNNNNNNNNNNNNNNNNNNNNNNNNNNNNNNNNNNNNNNNNNNNNNNNNNNNNNNNNNNNNNNNNNNNNNNNNNNNNNNNNNNNNNNNNNNNNNNNNNNNNNNNNNNNNNNNNNNNNNNNNNNGCGCACCCUCUUUUCUCUCUGCCACGCGACAAAGACAUGGUCUGUGGGAAUCAUGGCCGUCCGCCCCGGUGAUGUUCGUCAUGCAGGUGGCCAACGGGAACCCCACGACCCAUAGCCUUGUCCAAGGGAUCCGCCUGUUCGUCCUCGACUUCCACCGAAUUAAUUGAAGUAUAACACCUCAAAUUAGUGUGGUUGAUGUUGUCUUCUCCCCCUCCGGUGAUGCUUUGCCGCGCCUCGAUCUCCUCUGCUACGCCGUCCCUAUGCUCUAUCUUGGUUGCCUCGUCGACAUCUGGUGCUUCUAGACCCUGUGGACCCCUCGCUACGGAGCCCUUCAUUCCUGAGCCACCGUGUCAGCACCUCGCUCCACCGUCCGCCGUGGACGACGAGGUCGUCGCUCUGGUGAAUCCCAAGCCUCCUGGAUCAUGCCUUCAUCAAAUAAGUGAGCCACUUAUGUGUUUGCUCACGUUCUUUAGUCCCCUCCCCCUCUAUAGCUUGCCCGUGCCUAGCGCCUUCCGCCAUUGCCACGGGACCUCGUCGCCGGCGAGCUUCCCGGCUGCUCUACAAACUCCAAGUGCCCUUGCGGACCACCCCAUGACCCUGCCUUGCUCCAGGACCGUUCACAGCUCGCCCUAGCGUGCUCUCGAGCAGUCCCGAGUCAACCCCGGAGCAUCCAUGCUCGCCGGAGUUCAAGCUCCGUCGUGUAGAUGAGAGGAGGGCCCGCCCCUAAAAUAAAUAAGUGAGUACCAUUUCAGAAAACAAUAAAACAAUGACAUGUGGGCCCCAUGUGAAAUUGAUUUUUUUCUUUUCGGUCCCACGUGUAAGUGAGACGACAGAGAGAGCUUUUUAUUUUUAUUUUUCUUUGAGUGGGUCCCACGCGUAAGUGACACAUGGAGGGAGGGGCAGAAAUGUCCAGAAAACAUCCCGUUGACGGUCAAAGGCCUUUGACCGAAUGGUAACGGAGCGGAAGGGCAUUUCUAUAAGUGCACAUAACGGCGGAGGGGCAUUUUGAGCAGGGUUUCGAAUUAGGGGUAUAUCUGAUUAGGUGGUUCGAGUUAGGGACAGAAAUGCAAAUGGCCCAUAUUAUAUUUGGUUCAACUAACCCUCAUUUUAGUGAAAAGUUUGGAAAGCUAAUGUCCAAGAAGUUUGAGAUGUCGAUGAUGAGUGAACUCAAAUUCUUUCUCGGUUUGCAAAUCAAGCAAACUGAGGAAGGUACCUUUGUCUCCCAAACAAAGUACACCAAGGACUUAUUCAAGAAGUUCAAUAUGCAAGAAUGCAAAGGUAUGACUACACCCAUGCCUACUAGUGGACAUCUUGAUUUGACCAAAGAUGGUGAACCGGUUGAUCAAAAGGUUUACCGCUCCAUGAUUGGUUCAUUGUUAUAUCUAUGUGCUUCACGUCUCGAUAUUAUGCUAAGUGUGUGCAUGUGUGCACGAUAUCAAGCCGCUCCUAAAGAAUGUCAUCUUAAGGCCAUGAAAAGGAUAGUGAGAUACUUAAUCCAUACACCAAACUUUGACAUUUGGUAUCCUAAGAGGGCCUCUUUUAAUCUUGUUGGCUACUACGACUCGGACUAUGCCGGUGACAAGGUUUAUAGAAAGUCCACUUCGGGUACUUGUCAAUUUCUUGGUAGAUCUCUUGUGUCUUGGUCCUCCAAGAAACAAAACUCGGUAUCCUUAUCCACCGCCGAAGCGGGAUACAUUGCCGCUGGUUCAUGUUGUGCUCAAUUACUUUGGAUGACCCAAACUUUUAAAGAUUAUGGGAUAUAUGUGAAACAUGUUCCAUUGCUUUGUGACAAUGAAAGUGCUAUCAAUAUUUCUCACAAUCCCGUGCAACACUCUCGAACUAAGCAUAUUGAAGUUCGUCAUCAUUUCAUUCGAGAUCACAUUGCCAAAGGGGACAUUAAUCUUAAGCAUGUUCGCACCGAUAAGCAAUUAGUGGAUAUAUUCACCAAACCGCUUGAUGAGAAAGUGUUUUGCAGGUUAAGAGGUGAAUUGAACAUCAUUGAUGCUUCAAACUUUGAGUAGGAACUCCAUUCGGAUACAUGCAAGACAUGAGCCUAUGACUAAUCCUUGAUAUUUCUCUUAUGAUGAUAAUAUUAUGUCUUGGAUAUAUUUGCACCUUGCAUGUUAUCUAACCCUUGUAGGUACUUGGAUGAAUCUAAAUCUAUGAGAUUGCAACUCACUCACAUCUUGAGCAAUCUCUACAUCACCAAGUCUCUACACAAUGGUGGUUGAAGACGAGGAAGCACAAAACCAUUCAAACAUAUCCUUUGACAAAUUCUAUAUUGAGUUUCAUAAUUGUCAUUUUGGAUACACAAGUGCUCUUCCUUGCAAAAACUAACCCAUGUAGGUAGAUGAACUCAAUUUCCAAGUGGUGCUCCCAACUCUUGAUGAGCUACAUCAACCUUGAGCAACCCACACAAGUUCAACUACAUGAUCAUGAUCAACACAACCACCCAAGGUAUGUUAUUCAAUCUUAGAGAAGCUUUAGUCCAAGUCAUGAGUCAAAUCAACUCAACAAGAUGUGAAUACAUCAAAAUGCUUAAACGAAAAAUGGUAACCCCAUUUUGAGCUUAAACAAUGAGUAUGACCUAUGAUCAAGUGAUCUCACUUGACUCCUAAGUCAAUAUACUCUAACAUAGGUGACUUUGUCGCUGACCAAUUCUAGGUGAAGUUCUCUUGUGUUCUUUUCUGUGCUCUUGCAUUUUUCUCAUGCACAUUUGUUUCCCCUUUCAAAAAAAACUUCAUCUAGAUUUCUUUUCUGUUUCUUUUUGUUCUGCAUUCCCUAUAUCCAAUUCAUUGCAAAUCUUUCAGUUAAUUCCUUGCAAAUCCUUGUGAGAUCUUACUUGUCUAGUGAGCUGAGGUGACAAGUGUUUUCUCUAUGAUGAACUCGGUCACACCGGUAUGUUGCCUUCGGUCCAACCGAAAUUGCUCGGUGCAACCAAAGCAAACAACUCGGCGCCACCGAUUUCACUACAGGAAAGACACCUUGCCACUUGUUCCUGCAUUCUUUUUGAUCCAGCUCCACUCAAUGAUCCUUGUCCUCUACCAGCAUCACAUUCGACUUCCUUCUUUGUUCUGUGACUCAAGGACAAACCCAUUUGUGACAAAAAUCCAGAAGAACCCUUCUUGGAAAUUGAUGUCAAAGGGGGAGAGAGAGAUCACAUCAAAGCUUAAUCAUUUAUAUAGGGGGAGAGAAUACUCAGGAGGAGAGAGAAAGACCCUAGAUGUUUGGUGUUCAAGAGUAGAGAAGUCACAUGUCUUUAAGAGGGGAAGGACAUGUUCAUAUUUGAUUGCUUGCAUUAGCUCUAUUUCUUUUCUUUGCUCCAAUUUCCUAUUCCCUAUCUUCUCCCAGUAUCCCAUGCUAGAUUCAGGGGGAGCAAGACAUCUAAGGGAACAAAAUCCUGGAAUUCAUUGCACAUCUUUACCUUUGGGGACAUGUCUAUAUACAAUGGGGUACUCAGUACUCACUCUCUACAUGUCAUCCCAGUCUUGGUACUCUUGUGUUUUAUUUUGUUUGCUCUGGUAAGUAGGUGUAUAUGUGUUAUCUAACCUUGUUUACGCAGGUUCAUUCCUUCCUAAGCCAACUCAAGACCACAAGGUAAGUAUAUGCAUCACAGUCAUGUGUAUGAGGAUUUCUUGCUGAUGUACAUAUUGUUUACAAGAAGGACUCAUGAACAUGAAGGUACAUUUUCCAUAUUCACACCAUUUUCUCUGAUGCAUAUAGCCAAGAUACAUGUAACACAUUGCUUACUCUGUCAUGCUUAUGCAUUCACAUGCUCCUAUAUUCCAUAUUUACAUGAUUGCAUACAUGUAGGGGGAGCCUAUGCAUGCUACAUGUCUUUCCAAAGCUUUACUUGUUAUUCUCUAUAUCCUUAUCUAAAGCUUUGAUCUAUGUUGUCAUCAAUUACCAAAAAGGGGGAGAUUGAAAGCACAAGUGCUCCCUGGGUGAUUUUGGUAAUUAAUGUCAACAUAUCUCUUGUUGGACUAAUACUUUUACCUAGUAUGUUUCAGAUAAGUUCAACAAUGGAGUGGCAUGGACUAGAGGAUGUGGAACCCCUUCAGGAUGCUAAGGACAAAGGAUUGGCUCAAGCUCAAAGCACAAGACUCUACAUUUUACUUUUAGUAAUCCAAGAUCACAUUGAGUCCAUAGGAAAGCCAAUACUAUUAAGAGGGGAUGAGGUGUUGCUUAAUUGCUUUCUUGCUCAAAGUGCUUAGUGAUAUGCUACAAAGCCCUCAACCACUUUCUCACAUCCACAUAUGUCCCAAACCAUCUAUCCGGCGCCACCGAGUUCUGUUGACAUAGCCACAGCCAGAAACCCUAGUCUUUUCGGUCUCACCGAUAGGGAUCUCGGUCUCACCGAGAUGGGAUUGUAAUCUCUCUAUUGCCCUUCAUAACAUUUCGGUCAAACCGAGAUAAGCGAUCAGUCCUAUCGAGAUUGCAAUGCAAUAUCUCUAUUCCGCUUCGUAACAUUUCGGUCCAACCGAGAUGAGCGAAUCGGUCCUAUCGAGUUUGCCUGACCAACCCUCUCUGUGUCUAUUACCAAAAUCGGUCCCACCGAGUUUGUGUAAUCGGUCUCACCAAGAUUACGUUAUGCCCUAACCUAACCAUAUCGGUCUCACCGAGUCGGCUUGUUGUUCCCACCGAAACUCCUAACGGUCACAUUAUUUACUAAAUCGGUCCGACUGAGUUUCACAAUUCGGUCCCACCGUGUUUGGUAAGUUGUGUGUAACAGUUAGAUUAUGUCUGGAGGCUAUAAAUACCCCUGUUGGAAAUAUGCCCUAGAGGCAAUAAUAAAAGCAUUAUUAUUAUAUUUCCUUGUUCAUGAUAAUUGUCUUUAUUCAUGCUAUAAUUGUGUUAUCCGGAAAUCGUAAUACAUGUGUGAAUAACAUACACCAACAUGUCCCUAGUGAGCCUCUAGUUGACUAGCUCGUUGAUCAACAAAUAGUCAUGGUUUCCUGACUAUGGACACUGGAUGUCAUUGAUAACAAGAUCACAUCAUUGGGAGAAUGAUGUGAUGGACAAGACCCAAUCCUAAACAUAGCACAAGAUCGUAUAGUUCGUUUGCUAGAGUUUUCCAAUGUCAAAGUAUCUUUUCCUUAGACCAUGAGAUCGUGUAACUCCCGGAUUCGUAGGAGUGCUUUGGGUAUGCCAAACGUCACAACGUAACUGGGUGACUAUAAAGGUAGACUACGGGUAUCUCCGAAAGUGUCUGUUGGGUGACAUGGAUCAAGACUGGGAUUUGUCACUCCGUAUGACGGAGAGGUAUCACUGGGCCCACUCGGUAAUGCAUCAUCAUAAUGAGCUCAGAGUGACCAAGUGUCUGGUCACGGGAUCAUGCAUUACGGUACGAGUAAAGUGACUUGCCGGUAACGAGAUUGAAUGAGGUAUUGGGAUACUGACGAUCGAAUCUCGGGCAAGUAACAUAUCGAUAGACAAAGGGAAUAGCGUACGGGAUUGAUUGAAUCCUCGACAUCGUGGUUCAUCCGAUGAGAUCAUCGUGGAGCAUGUGUGAGCCAACAUGGGUAUCCAGAUCCCGCUGUUGGUUAUUGACCGGAGAGUCGUCUCGGUCAUGUCUGCUUGUUUCCCGAACCCGUAGGGUCUACACACUUAAGGUUCAGUGACGCUAGGGUCAUGAAGAUAUGUGUAUGCAGAAACCCGAAUGUUGUUCGGAGUCCCGGAUGAGAUCCCGGACGUCACGAGGAGUUCCGGAAUGGUCCGUAGGUAAAGAAUUAUAUAUAGGAAGUGCUAUUUCGGGCAUCGGGACAAGUUUCGGGGUUAUCGGUAUUGUACCGGGACCACCGGAAGGGUCCCGGGGGUCCACCGGGUGGGGCCACCUGUCCCGGGGGGCCACAUGGGCUGUAGGGGGUGCGCCUUGGCCUAGAUGGGCCAAGGGCACCAGCCCCUAUAGGCCCAUGCGCCUAGGGUUUCCACCAUGGAAGAGUCCAUGUGGUGGAAGGCACCCCUAGGUGCCUUGGGGGGGAGGGAAACCUCCCCUUGGCCGCCGCCCCCCCUAGUAGAUCUCAUCUACUAGGGCCGGCGCCCCCCUGGCACCCCUAUAUAUAGUGGGGGGGAGAGGAGGGAUUUCACACCAGCCCCUGGCGCCUCCAUCUCCCCCCGUUACGUCUCUCCCUCGUAGUCUCGGCGAAGCCCUGCUGCUGUGACGCCCUGCAUCCACCACCACGCCGUCGUGCUGCUGGAUCUUCAUCUACCUCUCCUUCCCCCUUGCUGGAUCAAGAAGGAGGAGACGUCUCCCGUCCCGUACGUGUGUUGAACGCGGAGGUGCCGUCCGUUCGGCGCUGGUCAUUGGUGAUUUGAAUCACGUCGAGUACAACUACAUCAUCACCGUUCUUUUGAACGCUUCCGUGCGCGAUCUACAAAGGUAUGUAGAUGCAUCUAAUCACUUGUUGCUAGAUGAACUCCUAGAUGAUCUUGGUGAAACGAGUAGGAAAAUUUUUGUUUUCUGCAACGUUCCCCAACAGUGGUAUCAGAGCUAGGUCUAUGCGUAGUUCUUCUUGCGCGAGUAGAACACAAUUUUUUGUGGGCGUAGAUUUGUCAACUUUCUUGCCGUUACUAGUCCUUUCUUGCUUCAGCGGUAUUGUGGGAUGAAGCGUCCCGGACCAACCUUACACGUACGCUUACGUGAGACCGGUUCCACCGACUAACAUGCACUAGUUGCAUAAGGUGGCUGGCGGGUGUCUGUCUCUCCUACUUUAGUUGGAGCGGAUUCGAUGAACAGGGUCCUUAUGAAGGAUAAAUAGAAGUUGACAAAUCACGUUGUGGCUUUAACGUAGGUAAGAAAACGUUCUUGCUAGAAGCCUAAUUCAGCCACGUAAAACUUGCAACAACAAUUAGAGGACGUCUAACUUGUUUUUGCAGCAAGUGGUUUGUGAUAUGAUAUGGCCAAAGUUGUGAUGAAUGAUGAAUGAUCUAUAUGUGAUGUAUGAGAUGUUCAUGCUAUUGUAAUAGGAUUCACUACUUGCAUGUCGAUGAGUAUGACAACCGGCAGGAGCCAUAGGAGUUGUCUUUAUUCUUUUUAUGACCUGCGUGUCAUCGAGAAACGCCAUGUAAAUUACUUUACUUUAUUGCUAAACGCGUUAGCCAUAGUAGUAGAAGUAAUAGUUGGCGAGCAACUUCAUGGAGACACGAUGAUGGAGAUCAUGAUGAUGGAGAUCAUGGUGUCAAGCCGGUGACAAGAUGAUCAUGGAGCCCCAAGAUGGAGAUCAAAGGAGCUAUGUGAUAUUGGCCAUAUCAUGUCACGUUUAUUAUUUGAUUGCAUGUGAUGUUUAUCAUGUUUUGCAUCUUGUUUACUUAGAACUACGGUAGUAAAUAAGAUGAUCCCUCACAAUAAAUUCAAGAAGUGUUCCCCCUAACUGUGCACCGUUGCGACAGUUCGCUGUUUCAAAACACCAUGUGAUGAUCGGGUGUUUUAUUCAGACGUUCACAUACAACGGGUGUAAGACAGAUUUACACAUGCAAACACUUAGGUUAACUUGACGAGCCUAGCAUGUACAGACAUAGCCUCGGAACACAGAAGACCGAAAGGUCGAGCAUGAGUCGUAUAGAAGAUACGAUCAACAUGAAGAUGUUCACCGACGUUGACUAGUCCGUCUCACGUGAUGAUCGAACACGGUCUAGUUAAACUCGGAUCAUGUAAUACUUAGAUGACUGGAGGGAUGUCUAAUCUAAGUGGGAGUUCAUUAAUAAUUUGAUUAGUUGAACUUAAUUAUCAUGAACUUAGUCUAAAUAUUUUACAAUAUGUCUUGUAGAUUAAAUGGCCAACGUAGUCCUCAACUUCAACGCGUUCCUAGAGAAAACCAAGCUGAAAGACGAUGGCAGCAACUAUACGGACUGGGUCCGGAGCCUGAGGAUCAUCCUCAUAGCUGCCAAGAAAGAUUAUGUCCUACAAGCACUGCUUGGUGACGCACCCGUUCUCCCUGCAGAACAAGAUGUUAUGAACGCUUGGCAGGCACGUUCCGAUGACUACUCCCUCGUUCAGUGCGGCAUGCUUUACAGCCUAGAGCCGGGGCUCCAAAAGCGUUUUGAGAGACAUGGAGCAUAUGAGAUGUUCGAAGAGCUGAAAAUGGUUUUCCAAGCUCAUGCCCGGGUCGAGAGAUAUGAAGUCUCCGACAAAUUCUUCAGCUGUAAGAUGGAGGAAAACAGUUCUGUCAGUGAGCACAUACUCACUAUGUCUGGGUUGCAUAACCGCUUGACUCAGCUGGGAGUUAAUCUCCCGGAUGAUGCGGUCAUUGACAGAAUCCUCCAGUCGCUUCCACCAAGCUACAAGAGCUUUGUGAUGAACUUCAAUAUGCAGGGGGUGGAAAAGACCAUUCCUGAAGUAUUUGCUAUGCUGAAAUCAGCAGAGGUAGAAGUCAGGAAGGAACAUCAAGUGUUGAUGGUCAAUAAAACCACUAAGUUCAAGAAAGGCAAGGGUAAAAAGAACUUCAAGAAGGACGGCAAGGAGGUUGCCGCGCCCGGCAAGCAAGCUGCCGGGAAGAAGCCAAAGAAUGGACCCAAGCCCGAGACUGAGUGCUUUUAUUGCAAGGGAAGCGGUCACUAGAAGCGGAACUGCCCUAAGUACUUAGCGGAUAAGAAGGCCGGCAAAACAAAAGGUAUAUGUGAUAUACAUGUAAUUGAUGUGUACCUUACUAGUGCCCGUAGUAGCUCCUGGGUAUUUGAUACCGGUGCAGUUGCUCACAUUUGUAACUCAAAGCAGGGGCUGCGGAAUAAGCGGAAACUGGCAAAGGACGAGGUGACGAUGCGCGUCGGGAAUGGUUCCAAGGUCAAUGUGGUCGCCGUCGGCACGCUACCUCUGCAUCUCCCUUCGGGAUUAGUUUUAAACCUUAAUAAUUGUUAUUUAGUGCCAGCUUUGAGCAUGAACAUUGUAUCAGGAUCUCGUUUAAUUCGAGAUGGCUACUCUUUUAAAUCUGAGAAUAAUGGUUGUUCCAUUUUUAUGAGAGAUAUGUUUUAUGGUCAUGCUGCUAUGGUGAAUGGUUUAUUCUUUAUGAAUCUCGAACGUGAUGCUACACAUGUUCAUAAUGUGAGUACCAAAAGAAGUAAGGUUGAUAAUGAUAGUCCCACAUACUUGUGGCACUGCCGCCUUGGUCACAUAGGUGUUAAACGCAUGAAGAAGGUCCAUGCUGAUGGACUUUUAGAGUCUCUUGAUUAUGAAUAUUUGACACGUGCGAACCAUGCCUUAUGGGUAAAAUGACCAAGACUCCGUUCUCAGGAACAAUGGAGCGAGCAACCAACUUAUUGGAAAUCAUACAUACUGAUGUGUGCGGUCCGAUGAGUGUUGAGGCUCGCGGUGGCUAUCGUUAUGUUCUCACCCUCACUGAUGAUUUAAGUAGGUAUGGGUAUAUCUACUUAAUGAAACACAAGUCUGAAACCUUUGAAAAGUUCAAGGAAUUUCAGAGUGAGGUUGAAAAUCAAUGUGACAGGAAAAUCAAGUUUCUACGAUCAGAUCGUGGAGGAGAAUACUUGAGUCACGAGUUUGGCACACACUUAAGAAAAUGUGGAAUAGUUUCACAACUCACGCCGCCUGGAACACCUCAGCAUAAUGGUGUGUCCGAACGUCGUAAUCGCACUCUAUUAGAUAUGGUGCGAUCUAUGAUGUCUCUUACCGAUUUACCGCUAUCCUUUUGGGGCUAUGCUUUAGAGACUGCCGCGUUCACUUUAAAUAGGGCUCCGUUGAAAUCCGUUGAGACGACACCGUAUGAAUUAUGGUUUGGGAAGAAACCUAAGCUGUCGUUUCUAAAAGUUUGGGGAUGCGAUGCUUAUGUCAAGAAACUUCAACCUGAAAAGCUCGAACCCAAGUCGGAAAAAUGCGUCUUCAUAGGAUACCCAAAAGAAACUAUUGGGUACACCUUCUACCUCAGAUCCGAAGGCAAGAUCUUUGUUGCCAAGAAUGGGUCCUUUCUGGAGAAAGAGUUUCUCUCGAAAGAAGUAAGUGGGAGGAAAGUAGAGCUUGAUGAAGUAUUACCUCUUGAACCGGAAAAUGGCGCAACUCAAGAAAAUGUUCCUGAGGUGCCUGCACCGACUAGAGAGGAAGUUAAUGACAAUGAUCAAGAUACUUCUGAUCAAGCCCCUACUGAAAUUCGAAGGUCCACAAGGACACGUUCCGCACCAGAGUGGUACGGCAACCCUGUCUUGGAAAUCAUGCUGUUAGACGGUGAACCUUCGAACUAUGAAGAAGCGAUGGCGGGCCCGGAUUCCGAAAAAUGGCUAGAAGCCAUGAAAUCCGAGAUAGGAUCCAUGUAUGAAAACAAUGUAUGGACUUUGACUGACUUGCCCGUUGAGCGGCGAGCCAUAGAAAAUAAAUGGAUCUUUAAGAGGAAGACAGACGCGGAUGGUAAUGUGACCAUCUAUAAAGCUCGGCUUGUCGCUAAGGGUUAUCGACAAGUUCAAGGGGUUGACUACGAUGAGACUUUCUCACCGGUAGCGAAGCUGAAGUCCGUCCGAAUCAUGUUAGCAAUUGCCGCAUUCUAUGAUUAAGAAAUAUGGCAAAUGGACGUCAAAACGGCAUUCCUUAAUGGUUUCCUUAAGGAAGAAUUGUAUAUGAUGCAGCCGGAAGGUUUUGUCGAUCCUAAUAAUGCUGACAAAGUGUGCAAGCUCCAACGCUCUAUUUAUGGGCUGGUGCAAGCAUCUCGGAGUUGGAACAUUCGCUUUGAUGAGAUGAUCAAAGCGUUUGGGUUUACACAGACUUAUGGAGAAGCCUGCGUUUACAAGAAAGUGAGUGGGAGCUCUGUAGCAUUUCUCAUAUUAUAUGUAGAUGACAUACUUUUGAUGGGAAAUGAUAUAGAACUCUUGGACAGCAUCAAGGCCUACUUGAAUAAAAGUUUUUCAAUGAAGGACCUUGGAGAAGCUGCUUAUAUAUUAGGCAUCAAAAUCUAUAGAGAUAGAUCGAGACGCCUCAUAGGUCUUUCACAAAGCACAUACCUUGAUAAGAUAUUGAAGAAGUUCAAUAUGGAUCAAUCCAAGAAGGGGUUCUUGCCUGUGUUACAAGGUAUGAAAUUGAGCUCAGCUCAAUGUCCGACUACGGCAGAAGAUAUAGAAGAGAUGAGCGUCAUCCCCUAUGCCUCAGCCAUAGGUUCUAUUAUGUAUGCCAUGCUGUGUACCAGACCUGAUGUUAACCUUGCCGUCAGUUUGGUAGGAAGGUACCAAAGUAAUCCCGGCAAGGAACACUGGACGGCGGUCAAGAAUAUCCUGAAGUACCUGAAAAGGACUAAGGAAAUGUUUCUCAUUUAUGGAGGUGACGAAGAGCUCAUCGUAAAGGGUUACGUCGACGCUAGCUUCGACACAGAUCUGGAUGACUCUAAGUCACAAAUCGGAUACGUGUAUAUUUUGAAUGGUGGGGCAGUAAGCUGGUGCAGUUGCAAGCAAAGCGUCGUGGCGGGAUCUACAUGUGAAGCGGAGUACAUGGCAGCCUCAGAGGCAGCACAUGAAGCAAUAUGGGUGAAGGAGUUCAUCACCGACCUAGGAGUCAUACCCAAUGCGUCGGGGCCGAUCAAGCUCUUCUGUGACAACACUGGAGCUAUUGCACUUGCCAAGGAGCCCAGGUUUCACAAGAAGACAAGGCACAUCAAGCGUCGCUUCAACUCCAUUCGUGAAAAUGUUCAAGAUGGAGACAUAGAUAUUUGUAAAGUACAUACGGACCUGAAUAUAGCAGAUCCAUUGACUAAACCUCUCCCUAGAGCAAAACAUGAUCAACACCAGAAUUCCAUGGGUGUUCGAUUCAUCACAAUGUAACUAGAUUAUUGACUCUAGUGCAAGUGGGAGACUGUUGGAAAUAUGCCCUAGAGGCAAUAAUAAAAGCAUUAUUAUUAUAUUUCCUUGUUCAUGAUAAUUGUCUUUAUUCAUGCUAUAAUUGUGUUAUCCGGAAAUCGUAAUACAUGUGUGAAUAACAGACACCAACAUGUCCCUAGUGAGCCUCUAGUUGACUAGCUCGUUGAUCAACAGAUAGUCAUGGUUUCCUGACUAUGGACACUGGAUGUCAUUGAUAACGAGAUCACAUCAUUGGGAGAAUGAUGUGAUGGACAAGACCCAAUCCUAAACAUAGCACAAGAUCGUAUAGUUCGUUUGCUAGAGUUUUCCAAUGUCAAAGUAUCUUUUCCUUAGACCAUGAGAUCGUGUAACUCCCGGAUACCGUAGGAGUGCUUUGGGUAUGCCAAACGUCACAACGUAACUGGGUGACUAUAAAGGUAGACUACGGGUAUCUCCGAAAGUGUCUGUUGGGUGACAUGGAUCAAGACUGGGAUUUGUCACUUCGUAUGACGGAGAGGUAUCACUGGGCCCACUCGGUAAUGCAUCAUCAUAAUGAGCUCAGAGUGACCAAGUGUCUGGUCACGGGAUCAUGCAUUACGGUACGAGUAAAGUGACUUGCCGGUAACGAGAUUGAACGAGGUAUUGGGAUACUGACGAUCGAAUCUCGGGCAAGUAACAUAUCGAUAGACAAAGGGAAUAGCGUACGGGAUUGAUUGAAUCCUCGACAUCGUGGUUCAUCCGAUGAGAUCAUCGUGGAGCAUGUGGGAGCCAACAUAGGUAUCCAGAUCCCGCUGUUGGUUAUUGACCGGAGAGUCGUCUCGGUCAUGUCUGCUUGUUUCCCGAACCCGUAGGGUCUACACACUUAAGGUUGGGUGACGCUAGGGUCAUGAAGAUAUGUAUAUGCAGAAACCCGAAUGUUGUUCGGAGUCCCGGAUGAGAUCCCGGAUGUCACGAGGAGUUCCGGAAUGGUCCGGAGGUAAAGAAUUAUAUAUAGGAAGUGCUAUUUCGGGCAUCGGGACAAGUUUCGGGGUUAUCGGUAUUGUACCGGGACCACCGGAAGGGUCCCGGGGGUCCACCGGGUGGGGCCACCUGUCCCGGGGGGCCACAUGGGCUGUAGGGGGUGCGCCUUGGCCUAGAUGGGCCAAGGGCACCAGCCCCUAUAGGCCCAUGCGCCUAGGGUUUCCACCAUGGAAGAGUCCAUGUGGUGGAAGGCACCCCUAGGUGCCUUGGGGGGGAGGGAAACCUCCCCUUGGCCGCCGCCCCCCUAGUAGAUCUCAUCUACUAGGGCCGGCGCCCCCCCUUGGCACCCCUAUAUAUAGUGGGGGGGAGAGGAGGGAUUUCACACCAGCCCCUGGCGCCUCCAUCUCCCCCCGUUACGUCUCUCCCUCGUAGUCUCGGCGAAGCCCUGCUGCUGUGACGCCCUGCAUCCACCACCACGCCGUCGUGCUGCUGGAUCUUCAUCUACCUCUCCUUCCCCCUUGCUGGAUCAAGAAGGAGGAGACGUCUCCCGUCCCGUACGUGUGUUGAACGCGGAGGUGCCGUCCGUUCGGCGCUGGUCAUCGGUGAUUUGAAUCACGUCGAGUACGACUACAUCAUCACCGUUCUUUUGAACGCUUCCGUGCGCGAUCUACAAAGGUAUGUAGAUGCAUCUAAUCACUCGUUGCUAGAUGAACUCCUAGAUGAUCUUGGUGAAACGAGUAGGAAAAUUUUUGUUUUCUGCAACGUUCCCCAACAACCCCUCCACCCACUCUUCAUUCAUGGAGAGAGCCAUCAGAACAUGCCUACACUUCCAACAUACAUUUUCUAAGAGAGAACCACCUACACUUGUGUUGAGGUCAAGAUAUUCCAUUCCUACCACAUGAAUCUUGAUCUCUAGCCUUCCCCAAGUUGCUUUCCACUCAAAUCUUCUUUCCACCAAAUCCAAAUCCUGUGAGAGAGAGUUGAGGGUUGGGUAGACUAUCAUUUGAAGCACAAGAGCAAGGAUUUCAUGAUCAACACACCAUUUGUUACUUCUUGGAGAUUUGUGUCUCCUAGAUUGGCUAGUUGUUACUUGGGAGCCUCCGCCAAGAUUGUGGAGUUGAACCAAGGAGUUUGUAAGGGCAAGGAGAUCGCCUACUUCGUGAAGAUCUGCCCUAGUGAGGCAAGUCCUUCGUGGGUGACGACCAUGGUGGGAUAGAAAAGGUUGCUUCUUUGUGGACCCUUCGUGGGUGGAGCCCUCCUUGGACUCGCGCAACCAUUACCCUUCGUGUGUUGAAGUCUCCAUCAACGUGGAUGUACGAUAGCACCACCUAUCGGAACCACGGCUCAAAAAUCUCCGUGUCUCCAAAUUGCGUUUGCACACUCCAAUCCCAUCCCUUUACAUUCUUGCAAUUUGCAUGCUUUACUUUCCGCUGCUCAUAUACUCUUUGCAUGCUUGCUUGAUAUGUAUUGUGAAUGUUAAACUUGUGCCAAAACUCCACUUCAACUUAAAGAAACUAAAAGCUUCAACUUUUCUUGCUUAGAGUCUAUUCACCCCCCUCUAGACACCUCUUCUCGAUCCUUUCACCUUCGUCUUGAUUGGUCUAUUUCUCUGAAAAAUUUCUUGGGCAGGUGGGCAACACACGAGGAUGCACCACACGAAGUUCGUCUGCCUGCAAUCGUCAUUAGCUUGCUCUUCUAGCCUGCCAUUCUGUUCUUGAUACGAUCUAAUAUGAACCGAAGGUGCCUGUAGAUUGAUGUCAUCACAUCUACUGGACCUACUAGUAUAGUGUGUCAAGUUGCGUUCAUGUCUCUAGAUUGAUGUCAUCACAUCUACUGGACCUACUGGUGUAGUGUGUCAAGUUGCGUUGAUGUCUCGGAACUCUUUGGUAGAUUUAUGGUACCUAUGAUCCAAGAAAGAUCUACAACAUACAACAUGAUACACUUCAUCAACAAGGCUUGUUUUGUUAUAGAGCCAAACCUUUGUUCGUAAGAGAAACAACAAUCUCCAAAGAAUUAUUGUGUACAUGAAAUUCUAAAACCCAUUGGCUUUGCAAUUUGAAAGCACAUAAACAACAAUUAUAAAAGCUGAAACACCAAGAAGGUAAUGCUUUAUCCGUGGCAGCACUUAAUAAGCUUUCUUUUGAACAAAUGGUAGCAACCGAGCAGAUGGGCGGCGAAAAUGUCAGCCGCCGCACCACGUAGUAGGAACCCAAUGUACCGAUAGCACCAACAACAUCCUCACAGCCGACCAGAAAAAAAAUCCACCCCCAAUAAGGCCACCCACCAAAGAACUAAACCCCCAACCUACAACCAUUGUGAAAUCCUAGCCAAAAUACACACCGCACACCAACAAUGGCAACCAAGACAACAUGCCCAUUCCAUCAGUGCCCACACAAACACUCAAAAAAACCACAACCACCACUUUAGUCACACAAAAUCCAACACUAUCGCCCUAACCCUAAAACCCCACUCAGCGAACCGAAUCCCACUGGCGUCAGGCCACUCGCCAAAGCACCACCACCUACUAUAACAAAGAACAAACUAAAAAGUAGGGGAAUAGAAAGAUAGGUUGCCAGCACGAGGCCAAUACGAUGGAUGAUGGAAGCACAAUGUCAUAGUGAACCAAGGAGGGCGAUGAACUCCCCCAAUGCCAACGACCAUGGUGGGUAAGGAGCUCCUCCAAUUGCAACAAGCAAGCCAAGUCGUACCGGCCACACCACCACAAGUGCUCCCUUCAACCAAUCCAGCUACUCCCAGAUCCCCACCCUCCUAUCUCCACAUGCGCCAAGAAUACCCAGUUAAGGAAUCUCUAAUGCAAACCUCUAAAAUGGACAUGUUAUUUGUCCACGGGCGGAUAUUGAUACGGGAGUCAGCCAUACAACCGUGACCGCAUACAUUUUGAAGCUAAGUUGAACAAACCGAAUGACUUUCAUGCAAACUGGAUCUUUUUCAUCUAAACCAAACCAAAAUCAAUACAUUUUUAACAUAUUUCAACUAAAGUAUAACACACUAGGCCUUUUUUAACCUAGUCUAAAUGAUUGCCGGCCGCAACGCCGUCCAUGUCCCACGACAUAUCUUCCCCAUGUCCUUUGUUGUGAAUGAGGACCUGGCAGAUCAACAUGAAGAGACUGAAGCUGUCAAGGGGUGCGUAGCAUAUCAACAUGAAGAGUCUGAACCUGCCAAGGAGUCCCUAGCAGAGUUUCAUGAGGAGGCAGGAACUAGCACAGAGGCCGUGUACGAGCAGCAUGAAGAGCCUGAACCUGGCUAGGAGGCCCUGCCAGAUCAGCUAGAAGACCUUGAAGUUGUCAACAAGGCCAUGGCCGAGCAGCAUGAAGAGCCUGAAGGUUGCAAGGAUCAAAUGUCCGGGCGACAAGGAGACCUUGAAGUUGUCAAGAAGGCCCUAGCAAAGUAGCAGGAAGAACUUGAAGCUAUCAAGAUGACCCUCGUAGAGCAGCAGCAAGAACUUGAAUAUGCCAGGAAGGCCCUGCCAGUGCACAAGGAUGAAUUCGAAGGUUUCGAACUGGCCCUGGUAGAAUACAAUGAAGAAGUUGUAAUGCCCUAUUAGACCUGCAGGAAGAGCUAAAGCCGUCAUCAAGUCAAUUUGAGAGCAGCAGGAUGCAGUUGAAGCUGACAAGUGUCAUAUUUUGUUGUGCGAUACUUUGUUCCAUGGUGCUUAAUUGUAAUGUCGCCAAUUAUGAAUCAAAAUGUUAGAGCAAAAUAAUGAAAUUUAUUCAUUUUGGCAACAAAUUUAAAUAUAAAACAAAUUAUCAGAGUCUACAAACUAUGACAGAUAUGAAUACCGUCACUAGCGUCACCCACCUCUGGUCCCACAUGUAAGCAACCACGUAAGCAAUUUAUGGGCCCAUAUGUCAGCGGUGUUGGCCGGUCAAAACUGAUGCCCGACUUAUUACUAACGGGCACCAUGAAUGAUAAAACCUCGGCAGGGCCCAGCUAUAUGUGCCAUGUCAGUAGAUUAUUGGCCCGUAUGUCAGAAACAUUGACUGGUCAAACAUGAUUGAUCCGUCGUUAGUGUCGGAUAUAUCGUCACCGAAAACUACAACGAGGGACGGUUGUUAGUAUACGAUGACAGUUCUAGUGACCUUAUUUGGCCGUUGCAGAAGAUAGUCGGCGACAUAUAUAUUUUGGUUCAUCAUCUAAGAUGCGAUCUUGCACAACGAUAAAAGUGGUGCCUUCAAGAUUUAUUUUAUAUGACGAUGCUUCUAUGAUGGUGGGGUUAGCGGGCAGAAAAUAUCGCCGGAGUAUUUUAUGUAACGAAAGACGGUUAUAUGUGACACAAGUGAAACGUCGCAAAAUAGAGCAAUAGUGAUGGCAUAAUUGGAGAAUAGCAUACUUAUUUUCUAAAUUUCAUGAUUGAGAAGAAAUCAUGAACUAUAUGCAAAAUAAUGAUGGAGCAAGCAUCACAUAUUAGGCAAAGCAGGUGACCUUCAUCGGGAUGCAUGCGUACUAAUCAAAAAUUGUGUGUGCCUUAGGACCUACUAUAGGAGGGCUCCUAUGGGCACUGGCCGGUGGCCGACAUCUUAUCAUGAUAUCAUAGCAUUUUUCUCUUGAGUUUUUAAUUUACGUUUCCCUUUUCUUUCUUUUCCUUGUACAAUAGGGGUGCUCUCGCCCUUCCUCUAUCAAUGAAAACGGAACUCUCCUAUGUAGUUUCUAUGCUGCAUUUCCUGUGUGCAUUUUUUUAACUUGAUACAUGAACUUAAAUGCUAAGGUUGAAUAGAUGAUAUAUGAUAAAAGGAUAGAAAAACGUACAACCUCAGCUUAGCUCCCUAAAUCUGUUCCUUUUCUAGCUAAUCAUACCAGCUGAAGUGACUUUGGAACAUCUAUAUAGAGCUACAUGUAAUAUGUAAAUAUCUCAACAUAGUGAGACAGAAAAUUAGUGGCAAAUGAAGUAAUAUCCAUUUUUUCUUACGUUGUGACCACACCUGCAGCCUCAUUGUUCAGAAAUGGUGUUCAAAAUAAAUGAAAAUGGAUCAUACUGUUACACAAUAAAUAGUUCAAAAUACCAGAACUGAGCAAUUGUUCUGUUUUAUACCAACAUUUCAGUUAUCAGUAGCUUUUGGUGGAACAUGUUGCAAAUGACAUCAAUCCGUUACAAUGUUGAUUGGGUUAAGAAGAUGUAGGUAGCGGUCUUCUUGGAGAUGUGUGUGAUGGUACCUGAGGGAGGUCGUUGAAGUGGCCAUCCAUGGCAGCCUCCUUCUGAGCGUCGACACAUGACCUCAUCCAUUGGUGUCACACUGACGUGUACAAAUUCCCCACAACCCAUUUUAUGCUCUUAGGGUGGUGGUUGUUGGGUUGAUCUAUCUGUGCUCGUCUGGCCUACCACUGUAGUACUCAUCGCAUGAUGGAAAUGAUGCAUGGAUAGGAAGAUGGUACGAGGGACAUUGAUUGGGUGUAGACUCUUCCCGCGACUGCCUCUCAACCGGAUCUACCCCGAGGCACUCUCCUUGGGAACCUCCUCUGAUGACGCACGGUGGUGAUCGGAUCAACCCUGAGGCGUGUCAUUGUCUCAGUGGGUGUCAGCCCAGCGGUGCGGCAGUAGAUCAGGGAACCCUCUCCCUGGUUGUGUGUUCUAAAAAAAGUUUGAGAGGGGAGCAAAACCUUUAUACCGGUACAAUGAAACAUAACUUGGAGUGAGAGAAAAAAAGAUCAGGGAACGCUCCUAGCUAUAGACAGUCGACGUACAUAAUCUUUCUUGCUUCCUUCACACACGCAUGUAAAAAAACUCAGAACUUUCCAAAUCAAGGGUAUCCCAAGAUUAGGAAGGAAAUCUUAAUAAAGCGUACAAAGUCUUCUUCUUCCUCUUCUUCCCUAAAGCACGAUUUCUCCUUCUAUUCUUCCCCCAAACGAAGGCCUGGCACAAAACCGCGGUGAGCUCGUCUCCUGCUUUUCUUGCAUCUGCUAGGGCUUUGUGUAUCACCGAUCGUCUCCCCAUCAAUUCUUUUCCAACUUACAGCGUAGAGACCAUUAGUACUGGUGUACUGCAUAGUAAAUCACUAUCAAAGCUGAUCAUGACGUCUGUGUUAGAGUUUAUGUUUAUCUCCACUUGUAAUCUCAACCAUAUUCUAUCUCUCGCUCUCUCCCGUAGUAGUUUGAAUCUCCUUCCUGUAAUCGACUGGAUCAAGUCCUCUUCUUGUACGCCACGGCAGGGCUUCUGCCUCGAUCAAUAAAACCCAAUGAGGCUCCCUUACGAGGGAGUAGGAACGCUUCCAUAAUUCUUACAUGGUAAUCAGAGCAUCCUCUGCCAUAUACAUCUAGCCACAAAAUUCACACCUCAAACACGUCGGCGUCGUCAUCAUGUCCUCAUCAACAGGAGUCAUCCUCAACCUCGGCGCGCCUCCAUCAAAGAAGCUUGUGGGAGGAAAUUUCAUCCUCUGGAAGGCGCAAGUCUUGCCUGCCCUGUGAGGAGCGCAGGUGACAUGACUCUUGGACAAUUCCGAUGCCGCUCCACCCAAGACCGUGGAGAUCACCAAGGCGGACAAGACUUCGCCCAUGGAGCAAAACCCGCUGUAUGGUCCAUGGAUCACCAAGGAUCAACAUGUCCUCUCAUAUUUGCUAAACUCUAUGACACCAGAAAUUAUUGGACAGGUUGUUGGGAAGGAAUCCACCUUCGAGCUAUGGACAACCGUGACAACUAUCUUCGCUUCCCAGUCAUAGUCCAGGAUCACAAACUUGAGGACUGCGAUCACCACAACCAAGAAGGGCUCCAUGUCAAGCUCUGCUUUCAUGGCAAAGAUGAAGAAUCUUGCAGAUGGGCUAGCUGCUGCUGGCCGUCCGAUGUCAGAUCCAGAGAUGGUGGACUAUAUUCUGGCAGGACUAGACCAUUGAGGGAGUCUUGGAUUAGGGGGUCCUCCGACAGCCGGACUAUAUACUUUGGCCGAACUGUUGGACUGUGAAGAUACAAGAUUGAAGACUUCGUCCCGUGUCUGGGUGGGACUCUCCUUUGCGUGGAAGGCAAGCUUGGCAAUUCGGAUAUGUAGAUCUCCUUCUCUGUAACCGACUCUGUGUAACCCUAGCCCCCUCCGGUGUCUAUAUAAACCGGAGGGUUUAGUCCAUAGGACAACAACAAUCAUAAUCAUAGGCUAACUUCUAGGGUUUAGCCUCUACGAUCUCGUGGUAGAUCAACUCUUGUAAUACUCAUAUUAUCAAGAUCAAUCAAGCAGGAAGUAGGGUAUUACUUCCAUCGAGAGGGCUCAAACCUGGGUAAACAUUGUGUCCCCCGCCUCCUGUUACCAUUAGCCUUGGACGCACAGUUCGGGACCCCCUACCCGAGAUCCGCCGGUUUUGACACCGACAUUAGUGCUUUCAUUGAGAGUUCCACUGUGUCGUCACGAUAAGGCUUGAUGGAUCCUUUAAUCAUCUGCAACGAUGCGAUCUAGGGUGAGGUUUUCCUCCCCAGACAUUGAUGAGGAUACAGACCUGGGGUUGGGUCAUGGGCCUGACCUAUACAUCCUACCCAAGGUCACUAUCCAAGAAGGCAAGAAGGUCAAGAGACUCCGUGACACCCUCGGUCAAAGGUGUCAAGUGCAAUCCACUCGAUGCCAUGUCACUCGGGAGUCUCCCUACCUACCGUCACUUGACUAACAAGAGAAUCACUCGACCUCCGAAGACCAGGAGUCACUCAGCAUACAACGGUCGUGCAUUCAUUCCGUAGUCUUUAAGGCCAUUAAUAACACUUAAGGCUGGUGUUACCAGUAACGCCAGCACUUUAUGUACAUUUAGUCCCUUGUAAUGGAGGGCGGGAGAGGUCCUGGCGAACUCUAUAUAAGCCACCCUCCUUCUCUGGCACAAAGGUUGGCACCCCUUGUAAUAUCACUCACAGAAUCCAAUCGACCGCCUCCGGGCACCGAGACGUAGGGCUGUUACUUCCACCAAGAAGGGCCUGAACUCGUAAACUCCGUGUGUACACCUUCGCCAUAGCUGAGAUCUUGCCUUUCCAUACCUACCCCCGUUUCUACUGUCAGACUUAGAACCACGACAGUUGGCACCCACCGUGGGGCAGGUGUCUUAGCGACUUAUUGGUGAAGUUGUGUAAGUGCAUCUAGUGCCCCUUAGUGAUUUUGGUGUAUUGAAGACUUAUAGGUUAAGGGACUAAUGCGUUUGUGAGUGUACACAGGUCUAUAAGUCUAUGAGGAGUUUGAUAUUUACAGAGAAAUUCGACCCCUAAAAAUGAAGUUCUUUAACUGAAGACUUUGAUAUUCUGAAGACUUUCUGAAGACUUUGAAAGUGAAGAAAUUGGUGUGACCUUGAAGACUUGGUAUUCAUUUGUGGAACAUGAAGCGUGAAGACUUUUGUUUUCGUAGUUUCAUUUUCUCUUUCUUGAGUCAUAGGAAACACCGUACUGUUAAAGGGGGUCGAGGAAAUACUAAGGAAAAAUUUCCAUGUGAUGCUCAACUCAAAAUCCUACACCUACCAAUCCCUUCGAGUGAAGCCUUUGGAAAUCUCAUACAGUUCAGUCACUUUCUUCAGUGACAGAGACGAAGUUCUUCUGGUCACUGAUGAAUUUGUUCUGACCGAGGAGUUAGGAAUUCGUCAGUGCGAAUUACCUACACAGUGAGGUACAUGAUAGCCCUGAGGAAUUUGAGAGUCAAAUUUCCGACCGUUGCUGUGCUGCGCGCCAGCUGUCCCAAAAUAUCUUAUCCACCUAACGGUCAUAUCAUUGAGGGGCAUUUAUGUCUUAUCAUGUCGGGCUGCUCCCUAGGCUAUAAAUAGCCGCCCCCUACAACCACUAGCUGGUUGGCUGCUCCGAGAGAACUUGACACUUGUCAUUUGAGAGCAACCCAUCCUCCGAGGACUUUGAGCGAAAAUCAUCGAGUGAGGAAAACCCAAAACCAAACCCCUACAAACACAAAGUGAUUGAGCAUCACUGAAGAAGUUGAUCCUGCGUGUAUUCGACGCUUGUUACCUUUGAAGACUGUGCUUCUUCCAGACGGUUAGGCGUCAAGGUCUAGAGCAUCCAAGAGGAAUUGUGGAUCGCCGAGUGACCAAGUCUGUGAAGGUUUGGAAGUCGCCUGAAGACUUACCACGAGUGAUUGGACAAGAUCUGUGUGAUCUUAGUUCAAGGAGAAUACGGUGAGGACUGGGUGUCCUGAGCUGCGUGCUUAGCGACUGGGUGUCCGGGACUGUGUGUCCUUGAGUUUAAAUAUUCAGCCGCUCCAACCAGACGUACAACUGAGACAGCAGUUGGAACUGGUCUACCAAAUCAUUGUCUUCACCAACCUACUGGUUCUAUUUCCUCAACCCUUUCAUUUCCUCAUUACUGUGUUGAGUGUUUGUUCAUAUCUGUGUUUGAAGACUUUGGCUGAAGACUUUCUUAAUUUCCUCAGCUCAAUUUCUUCAGUCUGUUUGUCUUCAUCUUGUGUUAUCCUGUGAUUACGCUUUCUGUACUCUGUGCUUGUCUUCAUUUCAUCAUGAUGACCAUGCUUGUAUUCUGUUAUGCUUACUUCUGAGUACUUAUUCCGCUGCUAAUAGUUCUUCGCUAAGGAAUUUCCUCACCGGUAAAUUCCUCAAUGAAGAAUUCAUAAAAAUCGCCUAUUCACCCCCCUCUAGUCGACAUAACGCACUUUCAAUUGGUAUCAGAGCAAGGUACUCCCUUGUUCUGUGUGAUUUUGGUUUAACCGCCUGGAGUUUUAGUUAUGUCGACCGCAGGUAUGAUCAAGGUCUCAGCUGGGUGUCCUACCUUUGAUGGGACGGACUACCUCUACUGGAAAAACAAGAUGCGAAUGGAUCUCGAGGCUAUUGACAACGAUCUUUGGUAUGCUGUGGAAAAUGGUGUUCCCUCUGUCUCACCCUCACUGAACGCUACCGAUGUGAAGAGAUUCAAGCAACUCGAUUCUCAAGCGAAGAAUAUCAUAUGUGGCCAUCUGAGUAAAGGACAGUAUGGAAGAGUGAGUGCUUUGGAAACAGCUAAGCUUAUCUGGGAUAGGCUGUCCAAAGUGAAUGAAGGAGUCUCAACUCAGCGUGACUCUCGAGUUGAUGUUCUUCGGAAUCUCUUCAACCGCUUCAAAAGACUCGACAAUGAAAAUGUCCAACAAACCUUUGAUCGCCUCACUGACAUCUCAAAUGAGCUUCAAGCCCUCGGUGCCACUGACAUCAUUGACCAUGAGGUGGUGAAGAAACUGUUGAGAUCACUUGAUUCCUCAUUUGAUACUCUUGGUCUGAUGAUACAAGAACGGGCUGACUACAAGUCUCUUGAUCCUACCGAUAUCCUCGAAAGGCUAAAUACUCACGAGUUCCAGCUUGCUGAAAAGAGAGAUCUCUAUGGUUUGAGCUAUGGCAAACCACGUGCCCUGAAGGCCAAGGUUGUGUCUGAGUCUGAAUGUGAGGACUCUGGUAGUAGCCUUGGUGAUCCUGAAGAAUUGAGCCAGGAGCUAGCACUGCUCGUGAAGAAAUUCCAGAAGUUCUCAAGACGUGGUCGCUUUGGAAAAUCCUCAAGAAGCAGUGAUUGCUCAUCAAGUGACUAUAAGAGAAGGUUGUGCCACAAAUGCAAGAAACCUGGUCAUUAUAUUCAAGAUUGUCCUCAGUGGGAAAAGGAACUGAAGAAGAAGAAAUACAAGGAUUACAGUUCUAAUGAUGCGAAGAAGAAGAAGAAAUCGUCAAAAUCUUCGUCAUCAAAAUCCUCGAAGUCUUCAUCUCACAAGAAGAGCAGCUCCAAGAAGGCUCGGGCAUUCAUUGGCAAGGAAAUGGACUCUGAAGAUGAAUCUGAGGAAAAUGAGGAAGAGGAGGCGUCCGAAGAAUCCGAAUCUGGUGUGGCGAGUCUGGCCUUCGCUGCUGCUUUCAUUAGCAAGUCCAUCUUCAACACUGAAGAAACUGACCCCACCGACAAGCUUGAUGAAGAUAAUGAUGACUACGCUCCCACCUAUUGCUUCAUGGCAAAAGGUGCAAAGGAUGAUCAACCCAAAACCACUGAAUGGGUCCUCGAUAGUGGAUGUACAAAUCACAUGACUGGUGACAAGAAUCUUUUGAUGGAUGCUCCCUUAUCACCAUCACAUCUGAAGCACAUCAUCUUUGCUGACAAAGGCAAAAGUCAGGUAUUGGGUCUUGGUAAGGUUGCGAUCUCUAAGGAUAAACACAUGGAAAAAGUCAUGCUUGUUGAGUCCUUAGGAUACAACCUCAUGUCAGUCUCAAUGCUUUGUGAUCUUGAUAUGGUUGUUGUCUUUGGCAAGUAUCGCUGUGUUGUGAUUAUGGAAGCUGACAAUUCCAAAGUCUUCGAAGGCUUUAGGAGAGGAGAUUUGUAUAUUGUUGAUUUCUCUACAGGACCACAACCAGCCGUGUGUCUACUUGCAAAAGCUUCAGAAGGUUGGCUAUGGCAUCGACGACUUGGUCACGCAGGCAUGAGGAAUUUGCACACUCUUGCGAAGAAGAAGCAUGUCAUUGGCAUUGAGAAUGUCAAAUUCCUCAAGGAUCACUUAUACGGAGCCUGUGAAGCUGGAAAAAUGACCAAGGCCAAGCAUCCAGCGAAGACUAUCAUGACCAUUACUCGUCCAUUCGAAUUGCUUCACAUGGACCUCUUCGGACCUAAUCAUUACUCAGCAGUCUUUAAUGCUGCAUCUCUAUAUGGUUUUGUCAUUGUUGAUGAUUACUCUCGAUAUACAUGGGUACACAUUGUUACUUACAAACAUGAAGUGCAGGAAGUCUUCAAACGAUUUUCCUCGAGGGCUUCAACCAACUUUGGUGUGAAGAUCAAGCACAUCAGAAGUGACAAUGGAACUGAGUUCAAGAAUUCCGGCCUUGAUGACUAUCUUGAUGAACUUGGUAUUACUCAUGAGUUAUCUGCUCCUUAUACUCCUCAGCAAAAUGGCGCCGUGGAGCGCAAGAAUAGAAUUCUUGUUGAGAUGGCUCGCACUAUGCUUGAUGAAUACAAAAUGCCUCAUCGUUUUUGGAUUGAUGCAAAUUAUACUGCGUGCCACAUCAUCAACAGAGUAUAUCUUCACAAAUUCUUCAAAAAGACGGCCUAUGAACUCCUCACUCACAAGAAACCCAAUGUGAGUUAUUUCAAAGUCUUCGGUGCUAAAUGUUGGAUUAGAGAUCCUCACCACAAUUCUAAAUUUGCACCGAAAGCACAUGAAGGUUUUAUGCUUGGUUACGGAAAGGACUCGCACACCUACAAAGUCUUCAACGUCGCUCUUCACAAGAUUGUUGAAACUGUAGAUGUGCGGUUCAAUGAAACUAAUGGCUCGCAAAGAGAGCACCUACCUUCUGUGUUAGAUGAACCAACACCUGAGGAUUCUAUCAAGUUCAAGGCAACUGAGGAUGUCAUUCCUACUGAAGAAUUUGCUGAAGAAUUCAUUCCAGUACGCGAAGAACGUCGAGCUGAUGCACCUGAAGAUAAUGCUGAAGACAAUGGUGCUGAGGAAAAUGAUCAAAUACCCCGACGACAACCAGCUCAUCCUCUUCGUUGCAAAAGAAGUACAAGUUGACAAGAUCAUCGAUGACAUUGAAGCGUUAGGUCCUCUCACACGCUCAAAAGCUUCACAUUUAUCUAACUUUUGUGGGCACUAUGCUUUUGUCUCUAUCACAGAGCCCACUAAGGUAGAUGAAGCAUUUUUGGAGUCGGAGUGGAUUCAGGCUAUGCAAGAAGAAUUACAUCAGUUCGAGCUCAACAAUGUCUGGGAACUGGUCAAACGUCCAGAUCCUCGCAAGCAUAAUAUCAUUGGCACAAAGUGGAUCUACCACAACAAGCAAGAUGAAAAUGGCCUUGUGGUAAGGAAUAAGGCACGACUGGUAGCUCAAGGUUACACACAGGUUGAAGGAAUUGAUUUCGAUGAAACUUUUGCACCUGUUGCUAGACUUGAGGCUAUUCGCAUAUUACUUGCUUAUGCUAAUCAUCAUGAUAUCAUCUUAUAUCAAAUGGAUGUGAAAAGUGCAUUCCUCAAUGGUAAGCUUGAGGAAGAAGUAUAUGUUGCUCAACCCCCAGGUUUUGAAGAUCCAAAGAAUCCUGACAAAGUCUUCAGACUUAAUAAGGCCCUCUAUGGCCUCAAGCAAGCCCCUCAGGCGUGGUAUGAUACAUUGAAGGAAUUCUUCGUGAAGAAUGGCUUCACACCCGGUUCACUCGACCCUACUCUCUUUACUAAAUCUUAUGAUGGUGAACUGUUUGUGUGCCAAAUAUAUGUUGAUGAUAUUAUCUUUGGCUGUACUGACCAAUGUUAUAGUGAUGAAUUUGCCUAUAUGAUGAGUGAAGAAUAUCAAAUGUCUAUGAUGGGAGAGUUGAAAUUCUUCUUAGGUCUUCAAAUUCGUCAACAGCGCAAUGGCAUAUUCAUAUCUCAGGAUAAAUACCUCAAAGAUGUACUGAGGAAAUUCGGCAUGCAAGAUUGCAAAGGCGUCAAAAUUCCUAUGCCCGCAAAAGGCCUUCUAUGCACUGAUGAAAAUGGUAUUGACUUCGAUCACAAGGUAUACCGCUCCAUGAUUGGUUCUUUAUUGUACUUGUGUGCAUCUAGGCCAGAUAUAAUGCUUAGUGUUUGCAUGUGUGCCCGAUUUCAAGCUGCACCGAAGGAAUCACACCAUAAGGCUAUGAAGCAUAUUCUUCGAUAUCUAGCUCACACACCAACACUAGGAUUAUGGUACCCCAAGGGCUCUGUUUUUGAUCUCAUUGGAUAUUCUGACUCUGACUAUGCUGGUGAUCGUGUGGACCGCAAGUCAACUGCUGGCACUUGUCAUUUCCUCGGACGAUCUUUGGUCUGUUGGUCCAUGAAGAAACAGAACCGCGUAUCACUGUCUACUGCGGAAGCUGAAUACAUUGCUGCUGGCUCUUGCUGUGCUCAACUGCUUUGGAUGAAGCAAACACUCAAGGACUAUGGCGUCAACGUGAAGAAUGUGCCUCUCCUCUGCGACAAUGAGAGUGCCAUCAAGAUGGCUCACAACCCAGUUCAGCACUCGAAGACAAAGCACAUUCAGAUUCGUCAUCAUUUUAUUCGUGAUCAUGUGUUGAAGGGCGACAUCUCCAUCGAGCACGUCAAGACUGAAGAACAGCUAGCUGAUAUCUUCACUAAGCCCUUGGAUGAGAAGAGAUUUUGCAAGUUGCGGUGUGAGCUAAAUAUCUUAGAAUCUUCGAACAUUCUUUGAAAAGAACACACAUCCUAACACUUAUGCAAAAUUGAUGACUUAGAUGUGCAAGACAUGAAGAAACGUUUUUCUUCAAUCAAUGAAGAAUAACACUCUAAGUGUGAAGAAAUUAAUGAAGAAUUUGAUUCUCAGAGCCCUACGACAAUUGUACGCGGUGUCUGAAAUCAUCAUUCUUAUACGAUGGGUCACGCCACCACAAAAAGUUGAAAAUCUUAAAUUUGAGUUUUUCCUCAGUUUUGAAAUUCUUCAGUUUUUCAAAUUCUUCAACUUUUCAAAAUCUUCACUGUUUCCUUCGUUUUUUCUUCAUUGGCUAUAUAUAUAUAUAUAUAUGAGUUUAUGUCCUCUACAGCAUUCACUUAUCGCUAUUUCUUCAAGUUGCUUUUUCUGCUAAGUGAAUGUGAUCGGACCCUUCGCCCUCUAUGCUAUACUCAACCCAAUCUAUUCACAAAUUCUUCAUAUGCGUUCUAUUUGAAACUCGUUCAAAAUCUUCACUGUGUCCUGGUCAGCUGAAGAAAUUGCGAACAAAACUUUAAAACAAAUCUUAUCCAAAUUUUCGGUUUUGCCGCUCAAACUAUUCCACAUCCCACGAUGCAGUAUUCUAUUCACCCACGAUCAUACACGAUCUCAACUACACAGUACAUGGGUGACACAUGUCGCGUGAAGGAGAAAGGGCAGGGGCACGUUCGUCCCAAAAUCUUCGGGCGAACAGUUUUUCACCGUGUCUAUAAAUACCCCUCUCCCCUUCCUCACUUCAUUUACUCCGCUCGAUCGCUACUCUCUCACUCGGGCUCCUCAAACCCUAGCGCCGCCGCUACUCCAUCGUCGCCGGUGAGGAAGAGCUUCGCUGCCUCGACCUCGUCGCCGUCGUACUCACGCCGACUGCGGAAAUCUUCACUCCGCCGCCACCGUAGCUGUCUUCCUCCACCGAGUUAGGGCAAGGAAGAUCUAACCUGACGAACUUCCCAUCUAUUCUUCUCAGUUCGUUGUGUUCUUCACUUUGGGUAAUUAAAAGUUACUUUUAUUACUCGCGUUGAUUCUCAAGCUUUCCUGAAAAUCUUCAAAGGUGUUUAUUCUUCAAAUCUUCACACAUAUGAACAUCACUCACAUCAUAUGAUCUUGAACUGUUUCUCUAAGCAAUCAUUUUCUUCAAGAUUCCCUAAUUGUGUGGAUCUUCGAUCUGUACAACUCUGGAACCUAAGACAAGAACGCUUAGUGAAAUUCCUCAAGGUUCAUCUGGUCAAAUUCCUCAAAACUUGUUCUUUUUGAAAAACCUUCUCAGAACGCAUAUGACCUCUCUGAAUUCCUCGCACCUGUACUCUGUUCACAGGUACUCAUGUCUGCUGCUGAAUCACUAGGUUCUCAUCAACUUAACUCAUUUGCAGCGUUCCUCGAAGAAAAACUGCAUACUUCUUCAGAGAACUCAAUUGUUCAAAUUCCUCAACUGAAGAAUAUGGCAGACGGUAAGAAGCCGCAGAAAGGAGGAAAGAAACCUGAGGUUAUGACUGCAUUUGAAAUCCCUGAGGAAAUUUAUGCUGACUAUUGCACACCUGAUGAAGCAAAAUUUGGCAAAGAAAACAAAAAUCACCGUAAGGUGCGCAUUCAGAAGAUUGAACGGAGAUGGGCAAGGGAAUGGAGGGAAUACAGAUAUGUGACUCCAAAGUACAUGAAGAAAUUCGCCCUCAUUCCUCCAUGCCCAAGAGCUCCAUUGGCACCUGGCCAAGUAGCUGACCUCACAAGCAUCAAACGUGGUGAGGACUUUCCUGAAGAAUGGGCUAAGCGCCAAGCUAAAUUGGCAAGACAAGCCCAGGUGGCAGUGAAGAAAUUCAAUAAGGAUUCUGCCACUGCUACUGCUACUGAGGCCUCGGUCAAACCGAGGAAAUCCAUGCCAAAGAAGCCUGCUCGUAAGCCAAGUGCUUCACCAACAGCGCCCUCACGGCCAAGUUCCUCAGCAGCGCCCUCACGACAAAUUCCUCACACUGCUACUGCUCCAUCAAAGUCCUCAGCUCCUGUGCAUCUGGCUACAUGUCAAAGGACUGCUGGUUUCUCGAUUGCCUCUGGUGUUUCAGUAAGUUCCUCAGCUGCACCAAAGUCAUCAUCUGGCCCGACUCUGCUAAAGACCAAAGCAACAGCUAGACGAGGUCCUCGGCCAAGUCCAAAGAAGAAACAUGUCGCAUUCCAUGUGCCUUCUGAUGAUGAAGCUUCUGAUGAUGAACUUGCAGAAAUCAUCAGAGACAGACAAGUGAAGGCCGCUAGAGCCAAAGGCACAUCUGUGCCACUGCUGUUGGAUCCGAGGAAAAUCCUCAAUUAUAUUGAUCUCUGGCACAAGGAUCCAAACACCCCAAUGCCUGAUUUUCAUUUGACCCCUGGACAAAGUCAUAUGUUGACCCAUUUCAUCAUUGAAGAGAAAUGGAAGUUUGAAAAGGCAAGAGAGAUUAAGAAAGCCCAAUACAGAAAGGAGAAGCUCCUGAAGAAAAACGUUGUCAGAAUGACACCUGAGGAACUUCUCCAGGCUCAGUCUGAAAUUCAAGCCCUUAGCAAUGACUUUGAUGCCUACUAUGCUGAUUGGCAAGGAGCCAAAGUCAGAUUCGUCAACCUGACGAAGAAAUUCACCAAUGUUGCUGCCCCAACGCAACAUGAAAUUCCUCAGGCUGGAGUCUCAGCUCAGCCGACUGAAGAACAUGCUAGCACCACUGAUGAAGUUCAGGCUGCUGAUGAAAAUGCCAGUUCCAGGGCUGAUGAUCCCAUUCCAGCCGCUGAAGAAAUUGCCAGGGCAUCCACUAGUGGUGUGCCUGAAGAAACUGAAGAAGUCAGGGCAACUGCAUCAGUUGCGCCUGAAGAAAAUCAACCAGAUUCCUCAGCUCCAUCUGCACCUACACCAACUCCAAUUCUUCCAUGUGCAUUCGAUGUGAAGAAGACCAAGGCUGCAGAGCGAGCUGCAGUGAAGAAAAGGAAGGCACCAACUGCGUCAAACUCUUCGGCUGUGAAGAAAAUGAAGCCAACGACCAGCUCAAUCGAAAAUCCAAUUGAUGCUGUUCCGAUUUCCUCCAUGCCAUCAAAGGACCUUGUUCCUUUUGGAGAAGACUAUGAGAUCCCAAGCGGAUCUGAUGAAGAAAAUAAUUCUGCUGCUUCGUCGGAGCAGAUUGAUGAAGAAAUUGAAGUGGAAGCAAUCCCUUCAACCCCAAUCAUUUCCUCGCCUAUGCCUCAGUUCACAGCUAAAGAGGCCCGUGUUGAGGAACUUGAAGAAGAUGUGGAUAUUGGAAGCACAACGCAAGUGAUGAAUGAUGACUUUUGGGAAAGUCAACAUCCAAAUUCUCCACUCUUCACCCCACUCCAACAGAUACCUCAGUCCCCUGCACCAACUGUUCAAAUGGGCUCUGAAGAAACUCAUCCCACUUCAUCUGUCCAUGAAGAAAUUCCAGCCACUAGUGCUGAUGAACCUGCUGCUGCUGAUCCUCAGACUGCACCUGUUGAGGAACAAGAAAUUCCUCAGCCUGAAGAGCCUGAGCUCGCGAUUCCUGAGGUGGUGAUGCAACUCACUGACACCCCUCUGCCAAAGCAAAAGAAUCCGUUCUCAAGCAAACAGAAGUUCAAGGCUGAAGAUUUCUUUGCCGAGCACGUAUUCUUCACUGAUUAUAAUCCAUAUGAUUCUGCUCGCAUAAGGAAGAGGCGUUUCUGGACUGCCAGCCAAGCCAAUUUCUAUUCCUCAGUGCUCUUCAACAAAGACAAAGUCUUCGAUCAUGCACAUAUUCCUCAUGUGGACAUGGAGUCUCUGCCCGGCUUUGAGCCAGUCCUCAGUGUUCUUCACGACGCAGGACUUCUGAAUUUCUGCAUUGAUAUCUGUGACUGGAAUGAAGAACUCAUUCUUCAAUUCUAUGCAACUCUGCACAUCACCGGAGACGCUGAAGACGUGAACUCAUGGGUAUUAGACUGGAUGUCUAAAAAUACUCACUACAAGGUACCAGCAACUGAAUUGCUUCGUGCUCUACCACUCAGUCCUCCACUUGAUGGUGCUCGUUGUAUCUACAACGAACCAGAACUUUCAAAUCACUAUAUGCAAGUGCUGAUGAAGCCUUUGAAGCCAAGGCAGGCCCCAAGAACCAAAUUCCUCAUCAAGGAAUUAUUGUAUGUGCCUCGGACUGUCUAUCGAAUUCUGACGAAGACAAUGAGUCCUAUCAAAGGCCAUGACUCAAAUGAUGAAGAAGUCGUUGGCAUCAUGAAGAAUAUGCUUUUCAACAUCAUUCAUGGCGUUCCCGUCAACUUCCAUGAUUUCUUCAUGAGGACUCUGGCCAAUAUUGCUAUGUCACCAUUCGAGCUGAAGCCCUAUGCUCCUUGGAUUAUGAGAUUCAUCAGGGCAAGAUCUUCACUGAAUUACAAAGCUGACACUCUGAACCAUGGUAGCUACUUGCCUCCCAUUGAAGUCCUCAAACGGACAGUUUCAUCAGCUGAUGAUAAAGGCAAGGUCGCUGCUGUGAUCGAUGAAGGCAUUCGUCCAUUGGAUGGUCAAUUUCGCAAGGCUGCAUCUUACUCUACCAAUGACGAUCCUGCCACACAUGACUCUGCCGCAAAUACCUCAGCCAAGCAAAAUCCUCAAGCCACAGCACCCAGGGUGAUGACUGACCGUGAGUUACUCCUCAAUCUUCAUUAGAAGGUUGAUCGCAAUCAUAAAUGGGUCAAGCGUCAGUUUGGUUCAAUUCUUCACAACAUGACCUCAACACACCAUGCAGUGAAGAAAAACCAAUACUACCUCCAUGAAACCUUCAACCAUACCUGGGCUGUUCUCUCUCAUGUCUACAGCACUGCAGAUCUGAAGAAUAUGGGUCUCAAGGAAGAAUUUGACUGGUGUGCACCUCCACCGAAGAAAUUCAAGAAGGUCAAAGUUCCUUCCUUGGUGGCCAGCUCUUAUUCUUCAUCGCGUGACACUAAUGAGUAUGAAGACUUGGACGACACUGCGGCAGGCCCUACUACAACAACCGACCCCAACAACGCUGGCGCUCCUCCAUCAACUUGAUAUUCUUCAGGGGCGUUAGUCCUCAGUUUCAAUCCUUUUGGUCAUUUGAUGACAAAGGGGGGGGGAUCUGAUUUAGUCUUCAAGCGGGUUUAUAUUAAGGACAUUUUUUUGAAGUUACAACUCUCGUUCUUCUGAAACUUCUAUUUGGAUCGAGUUGUAAUCUUAAACCUGAUGGUGCGCUGAUACUUUUGUUGCAUUAUGCUUUGCAUGCUUAUUCCUCGUUAAUGACAUUGCACGCAUGCUGAAUCACAUCAGGCACCAUAUUUCAUCAUGCAUUUCAAAUUCUUCAUAUUAUAUAUCAAAUGCGUGUAUGAAUUACAAGAUAUAGGGGGAGAUCUCCAUGAUUCAACUCUUCAAAUGUGCAUUGCCUCAAAAGCAAAUUCCUCACUAUGCACAUCUUCAGGGGGAGUUCUACUAUAUCUUGUAAUCAAAUUCCUCAAUAUCAGUGUAUACACUUCAUAUGUUUAUCCCCGUUGAAAACUUAACCUAUGUUGUCAUCAAUCACCAAAAAGGGGGAGAUUGUAAGUGCAUCUAGUGCCCCUUAGUGAUUUUGGUGUAUUGAAGACUUAUAGGUUAAGGGACUAAUGCGUUUGUGAGUGUACACAGGUCUAUAAGUCUAUGAGGAGUUUGAUAUUUACAGAGAAAGUNNNNNNNNNNNNNNNNNNNNNNNNNNNNNNNNNNNNNNNNNNNNNNNNNNNNNNNNNNNNNNNNNNNNNNNNNNNNNNNNNNNNNNNNNNNNNNNNNNNNNNNNNNNNNNNNNNNNNNNNNNNNNNNNNNNNNNNNNNNNNNNNNNNNNNNNNNNNNNNNNNNNNNNNNNNNNNNNNNNNNNNNNNNNNNNNNNNNNNNNNNNNNNNNNNNNNNNNNNNNNNNNNNNNNNNNNNNNNNNNNNNNNNNNNNNNNNNNNNNNNNNNNNNNNNNNNNNNNNNNNNNNNNNNNNNNNNNNNNNNNNNNNNNNNNNNNNNNNNNNNNNNNNNNNNNNNNNNNNNNNNNNNNNNNNNNNNNNNNNNNNNNNNNNNNNNNNNNNNNNNNNNNNNNNNNNNNNNNNNNNNNNNNNNNNNNNNNNNNNNNNNNNNNNNNNNNNNNNNNNNNNNNNNNNNNNNNNNNNNNNNNNNNNNNNNNNNNNNNNNNNNNNNNNNNNNNNNNNNNNNNNNNUAGUUUCAUUUUCUCUUUCUUGAGUCAUAGGAAACACCGUACUGUUAAAGGGGGUCGAGGAAAUACUAAGGAAAAAUUUCCAUGUGAUGCUCAACUCAAAAUCCUACACCUACCAAUCCCUUCGAGUGAAGCCUUUGGAAAUCUCAUACAGUUCAGUCACUUUCUUCAGUGACAGAGACGAAGUUCUUCUGGUCACUGAUGAAUUUGUUCUGACCGAGGAGUUAGGAAUUCGUCAGUGCGAAUUACCUACACAGUGAGGUACAUGAUAGCCCUGAGGAAUUUGAGAGUCAAAUUUCCGACCGUUGCUGUGCUGCGCGCCAGCUGUCCCAAAAUAUCUUAUCCACCUAACGGUCAUAUCAUUGAGGGGCAUUUAUGUCUUAUCAUGUCGGGCUGCUCCCUAGGCUAUAAAUAGCCGCCCCCUACAACCACUAGCUGGUUGGCUGCUCCAAGAGAACUUGACACUUGUCAUUUGAGAGCAACCCAUCCUCCGAGGAGUUUGAGCGAAAAUCAUCGAGUGAGGAAAACCCAAAACCAAACCCCUACAAACCCAAAGUGAUUGAGCAUCACUGAAGAAGUUGAUCCUGCGUGGAUCCGACGCUUGUUACCUUUGAAGACUGUGCUUCUUCCAGACGGUUAGGCGUCAAGGUCUAGAGCAUCCAAGAGGAAUUGUGGAUCACCGAGUGACCAAGUCUGUGAAGGUUUGGAAGUCGCCUGAAGACUUACCACGAGUGAUUGGACAAGAUCUGUGUGAUCUUAGUUCAAGGAGAUUACGGUGAGGACUAGGUGUCCUGAGCUGUGUGCUUAGCGACUGGGUGUCCGGGACUGUGUGUCCUCGAGUUUAAAUACUCAGCCGCUCCAACCAGACGUACAACUGAGACAGUAGUUGGAACUGGUCUACCAAAUCAUUGUCUUCACCAACCUACUGGUUCUAUUUCCUCAACCCUUUCAUUUCCUCAUUACUGUGUUGAGUGUUUGUUCAUAUCUGUGUUUGAAGACUUUGACUAAAGACUUUCUUAAUUUCCUCAGCUCAAUUUCUUCAGUCUGUUUGUCUUCAUCUUGUGUUUUCCUGUGAUCACGCUUUCUGUACUCUGUGCUUGUCUUCAUUUCAUCAUGAUGACCAUGCUUGUAUUCUGCUAUGCUUACUUCUGAGUGCUUAUUCCGCUGCUAAUAGUUCUUCGCUAAGGAAUUUCCUCACCGGUAAAUUCCUCAGUGAAGAAUUCAUAAAAAUCGCCUAUUCACCCCCCCUCUAGUCGACAUAACGCACUUUCAAGUUGCAAGUUUUUCCGAUCAUCAUCAUGGUUUACGGCGGCGAGAUGGUUGAGGGCCGCGAGAUCCGUCUCGGCGCGCUCAUUUUCGUCGCUGAUGACUCGGCGUGGCUUCAGGAAGCUCCGCUCAAUGUUGAGGCGCUCCCCGUCCGAGGGGCGACGCACUUUCGCGCGUGCGCUCGUGGCGUCCUUCUUCGGCAGCCGUCGACCGAGUAUCAGUCGGCUCCGAUGACAUCUUCCCUCCCCGUUGUUCGCCGCCGCAAGCGAUUCGGUCGGUCGCGGCUUUAGCGGUGGGUGAAGCAUGCGGUGGCUCGGCGUUCGGCCACUCAUCAAGUCGCGGCAAUCGAGCCCGACGAAACUCUCCACGUCCUGUUUGAUCUGUUGACUGGCUCCGCAGAGACAGCGUCCCAGUGCGAUAGCAGCGAUCCUGCGACUGAAGUCCUGAUGAUAGAUGGUCCGCAUGGCCCACCUAGCUUUCACCGCGAGGACGACGAAGACGCUAGCGGCAAUACAUCACGGGUCCACGAGGAGUAUCAUCCCGAACCUCUCUCUUCGCAGUAGAGAGAGGAUCUUCGUCGUCGCAACAUGGACGCACUUCACAUGCCCAUCGUUGGAGAGACUCCCGAGGCUCGGGCCUUGGAGGAGGCGCGCUUGGCUAAUUUAGCUAAGCGCACUCGACUGGAGAACUUGCAGCGCGCUCUCGACGAGCGAGCUCGGGAGUGAGUCCCUUAGUCCAGUCGAUGGCAGCUUUUCCCGCCUCCACCUAAGGUAUAUCGUACUCCGAUUCAGAACCUCACCGCUGCGGCCCAAGCAGAGUCGAUUCAACCUUCCCAGUCAGAGGCUGGCCGAGGGUUGGAGCAAAUCCGAGCCUUGCUCCAAGCAGCAGAAGAGCAGAAUUCUGCGGUGUCUCAGUCGCGGAAUAGGAUACAUAGCAGAUCCGUGGUAGCGGAUACAGUUUAGUCAGUCCAUAGCCCAAGAUCUCCCCCGCGGCGUGAAGGCCGUGGGCAGUACGAUCGUCAGUUCGACCACGGCAGUCAUCGUCGAGUGCCAACGCCCCCUCCGAGGUGUGCGCCGUACGUGCCUCGGCAGAACGAUGACAGACGCCGUCACAGGGACAAGAGCAGAGCUCCAGUCGACCCAAGAGAGCCGGGCUUUGAUGCGAGAUCCAUUCUCGUCCAAGUCCUGGUUGACCAGAAUAGAGCGCACAGAGAAGACCUAGGCAGAGAUCGUCCGAGUGGCAGCAGAUUACAUGUUUCAGGCCCAGAGUGUUUCAGCAGAGCCAUCAGGGUAGCAGUGAUUCCUCCCAACUUCAGAUUGGCAAUAGGAGUCAGUAAGUUCACUGGAGAAUCCAAGCCUGAGACUUGGCUUGAAGAUUACCGAGUGGCUGUGCAAAUUGGAGGCGGAAACGAUGAGAUAGCAAUGAAGCAUCUCCCUCUUAUGUUGGAAGGGUCGGCCCGAGCGUGGUUGACUCAGUUGGCCCCAGACAGUAUACACAGUUGGGAAGAGCUAUCUCGGUUGUUUGUAAGAACCUUUGAGGGCAUGUGCAAGCGGCCAGCAGGGCUUCCCGAGUUGCAACAUUGUGUGCAGAAGCCGAAUGAGACUUUGAGGGAAUUCAUUCAGAGGUGGACCACUUUGCAUCACACCGUUGAGAAUGUAUCAGAGCAUCAGGCAGUGUGCGCUUUCAAGGAAGGCGUCAAGUAUUGAGAGUUGGUUCUGAAGUUCGGUCGGACUGGGGAUAUGACUCUGACCCGGAUGAUGGAGAUAGCCACCCGGUAUGCUAAUGGAGAAGAAGAGGAUCGACUCCGUAGCGGGAAGAGUAAAUCAGUAGGCCAAGAGGCUGGUGGAGGUGGUUCUAGUCGGAAACAAAAGCGUAAAGCCGAGCCAGCGGCACCUGGUGAGAUUGCAGCAGUGGCUCAAGGAAAGUUUAAGGGAAAACCUAAGGGGCCUUGGCCCCCCAAGAAGGUAAAGGAUCAAGCCGGAAAUGAUGUGCUGGAUUUGCCGUGUCACAUCCACACGAAGAAAGAUGAAGAAGGUAAUCUGAUUUACCCAAAGCAUACCACUCAGCAAUGUCGACUCUUGAUCCAACAGUUCCGGGAGAAACAACCCAAUGAGAAGGAGAAAGAGUCGGACAGAGACGAGGAAGAGGAAGAAGACGAUGGUUACCCCAAGGUCAAUUCCACUCUCAUGAUUUUCGCUGAUGUUGAGAGCAAGAGUCGGUUGAAGGUUAUCAACAGAGAGGUGAAUAUGGUUGCUCCGGCGACAACGACCACGUACCUGAAAUGGUCCCAGACAGCCAUCACAUUCGACCAGUCAAACCAUCCUGCUCGCGUAGUCACCCCUGGGAGGCAAGCGCUGGUGGUCGACCCGGUGGUCGAUGGCACUCGACUGACUAAAGUGCUGAUGGAUGGUGGUAGCGGUCUGAAUAUCCUGUAUGCUGAAACCUUGAAGGGGAUGGGCAUCCCGAUGUCCAAGCUUAGUGAGAGCAAUAUGAUCUUUCACGGCGUUAUCCCUAGAAAGAAAGCCGAAUCACUCGGCCAGAUCACUCUCGACGUGGUUUUUGGUGAUUCCAAGCAUUAUCGUAAAGAAAAGUUGACAUUUGAAGUCGUGGAUUUCCAGAGUGCUUAUCACGCCAUCUUGGGGAGGCCGGCAUACGCACAUUUCAUGGCUCGACUGUGCUAUGUAUACCUCAAGCUGAAGAUGCCUGGUCCCAAAGGUGUGAUCACAGUCACUGGCAAUCGGCAGAAAGCAGAAGAAUGUUUCCAGAAAGGUUCCAAAAUCGCCGAUGCACAGAUGGUGGCGGUUGAAUUCCAAGAGUAUCAGAAGAGUGUAGAUCCGAGUGAUUUGUUCCGAGCCAAGAAGCCUGCUACCGACUCUACAUUCCAGUCGACUGGUGAAACCAAGCCGAUUCAUAUUCACUCGACCGACCCCAAAGCUGCCCCAACUCAUAUAUCAACAACACUCGAUAGCAAAUAGGAAGAAGCACUCACCCAGUUCCUCCAUGAGAACUGGGACAUCUUCGCAUGGAAACCCUCUGAUAUGCCAGGUGUACCCAGAGAACUAGCUGAGCACCGUUUGCGUGUCGACCCCAAGGUAAAACCCGUCAAAGAGCACCUUCGGCGGUCCGCCGUUCAGAAGAUAAAAGCAAUCGGCGAAGAAGUGACUCGACUGUUGGCAGCACAGUUCAUCCGUGAAAUCUACCACUCCGAGUGGCUUGCCAAUGUCGUCAUGGUCCCCAAGAAGGACGAUUCACUUCGCAUGUGCAUUGAUUUCAAGCAUAUCAAUCGGGCCUGCCCGAAAUAUCACUUCCCUCUCCCCCGUAUCGAUCAGAUUGUUGACUCGACUGCGGGGUGUGAGCGCCUGUCUUUCCUAGAUGAGUAUUCCGGGUAUCAUCAGAUCCGACUGUAUGGCCCCGAUGAAAUAAAAACAGCUUUCAUCACCCCAUUCGGGUGUUUUGGCUAUGUCACCAUGCCAUUCGGUCUUAAAAAUGCCUGAGCCACGUUCAUGAGAAUGAUCCAGAAGUGCUUGCUCACCCAAAUCAGUCGGAAUGUGGAGGCGUACAUGGAUGAUAUCGUGGUCAAGUCUCGCAAAGGUUCCGACCUAUUGACUGACCUCGCAGAAACCUUUGCCAACCUAAGAAGGUACGAUAUCAAGCUUAAUCCAUCAAAGUAAGGAAAGUUGCUCGGUUUUCUCGUUUCCGAACGAGGGAUCGAUGCUAAUCCAGAAAAAGUUGAUACCAUCCUCCGAAUGAAAUGCCCCGUGCGAGUGCAUGAUGUUCAGAAGCUGACUGGUUGUUUGGCCGCCUUGAGUCGAUUCAUUUCUCGUCUCGGUGAAAAGGCCUUGCCUCUUUACCGACUGAUGAAGAAAUCUGAUAAGUUCGAGUGGUCUGAAGAAGCCGAUGCAGCGUUUGCAGAGCUCAAAGCUCUGCUUUCCACCCAGCUGGUGCUCGCUGCGCCAAUCAGCAAAGAGCCUUUACUGCUUUACAUUGCAGCCACUGGACAAGUUGUCAGUAUAGUACUCACGGUCGAGCGAGAAGAGGAAGGAAAAGCUUACAAGGUUCAACGCCCAGUUUAUUAUCUCUCUGAAGUUUUGACUCCGUCCAAGCAACGAUAUCCUCAUUAUCAGAAGCUUGUCUAUGGAAUUUACAUGAUCAUGAAGAAGGUUGCACAUUACUUCUCUGAUCACUCUAUUACAGUCGUCAGCGACGCACCGUUGUCUGAGAUUAUGAAUAACAGAGAUGCAACUGGUCGAGUAGCAAAAUGGGCGAUUGAACUCCUUCCACUGGACAUCAAGUUUGAGGCAAAGAAAGCUAUCAAGUCCCAAGCAAUCGCGGAUUUCCUUGCCGAGUGGAUUGAGCAGCAACUACCGACUCAAGUUCAUUCGGAACAUUGGACUAUGUUCUUCGAUGGCUCCAAGAUGCUAAACGGAUCAGGUGCUGGAGUAGUAUCGGUGUCCCCCCGUGGAGACAAGCUUAACUAUGUUCUCCAGAUUCAUUUUGAUUCCUCCAAUAACAAAGCAGAAUACGAAGCACUUUUAUAUGGGUUGCGUAUGGCCAUUUCACUCGGCGUCCGUCGCCUCAUGGUAUACGGCGACUCAGAUUUGGUGGUUAAUCAGGUGAUGAAGGAAUGGGAUGUCAGAAGUCCAGCCAUGACUGGUUACUGCAAUGCUGUUAGGAAGCUGGAAAAGAAGUUUGAAGGGUUGGAACUUCACCAUGUACCCCAAUUGAAAAAUCAAGCUACAGAUGAGUUGGCGAAGAUAGGUUCAACGAGAGAGGCCAUUCCCCGCAAUGUGUUUUUGGAACAUAUUCAUUCACCUUCAGUUCAAGAGGUUCCCUUCACAGAAGAGUCGCCACAGCCCAAGAGUGCCACAGAUCCGACUGAAGUUGAAAUCCCAGCCGUGGUCGACUUAGUCAUGGAGGUUCUGGUCAUCACUCCCGACUGGACAGUGCCGUACAUUGCAUACAUUCUUAGGAAAGAACUUCCGGAGGAUGAAGAAGAGGCUCGACAAAUCGUCCGGUGAUCUAAGGCCUUUACUGUGAUAAAGGGGAAGUUGUUCAGAGAAAGUGCAACUGGAGUCUUCCAGAAGUGCAUCACAUCGGAAGAAGGUCGAGUGAUCCUCAAUGAUAUUCACCCGGGAACCUGCGGUCACCACGCGUCCUCUUGGACCAUCGUGGCCAAAGCAUACCGAGCCAGGUUUUACUGGGCGCGAGCCAAUGAGAUGGCUAAGGAGAUAGUGGACAAGUGUGAAGGCUGUCAGUUUUACUCCAACAUGUCUCAUAAACCUGCAUCAGCCCCGAAAACAAUUCCACUCGUCUGGCCUUUCGCCAUGUGGGGGCUGGACAUGGUUGGACCUUUGAGGACAGGAAGGAGUGGAUUUACUCAUGUGUUAGUAGCAGUCGACAAGUUCACCAAAUGGAUCGAAGCCAAGCCCAUCAAAAGCCUUGAAGCAAGCACAAAUAUGAGUUUCAUCAGAGAACUUAUAUUUAGAUAUGGCGUCCCGCACAGCAUCAUCAUGGAUAACGGCUCGAACUUCAAUUCUGAAGAGUUCAAAGCCUUUUGUGCCUCCCAAGGCACAAGAGUCGACUACGCUUCGGUCGCUCAUCCUCAGUCGAAUGGGCAGGCCGAGCGGGCAAAUGGAUUGAUUCUCAAAGGAUUGAAGCCUCGGUUGAUGUGUGACCUGAAACAUGCAGCAGGAGCUUGGGUCGACGAGCUCCCAUCCGUACUGUGGGGGUUGAGGACAACCCCUAACCGGUCGACUGGAAGGACUCCAUUCUUCUUAGUGUACGGAGCUGAAGCCGUGCUCCCCAGUGAUUUACUCCAUAAUGCACCUUGAGUCGAACUCUUCUCAGAAGAAGAAGAAGCAGAACAAGCUCGGCAAGAUGCAGUUGAUCUCCUAGAAGAAGAAAGAGAGAUGGCCUUGAUCCGGUCGACCAUUUAUCAGCAAGACUUGCAUCGAUUUCAUGCUAGAAACGUGAGGGGUUGGGCAUUUCAUGAAGGAGACCUGGUUCUUCAAGUGGACCAGCAGAGACCUCACAAGCUCGCUCUUGCUUGGGAAGGCCCUUUCGUCAUCACCAAGGUGCUCCACAAUGGAGCAUACCGUCUCUUCAACGUCGAACAUAAUAAAUAUGAGCGACCCGCCUGGAAUGCGGAUCUGCUCCGCCCUUUCUAUUCUUAAAUAUCUAGACUCAUGAGAUGUAGUAAGAAAUACCUUUUAGUUUGGCUAUCAAAAGACAUAAUUUACUUCUUCCGAAUGAUUGUUGUUUAUUUCUUUUAUACGUAUUACCUUAGCUGCGAAUCCAUUUCGCCUAAGACAAAGUGAUAAAAAUCCUACCGAGUGAUGAGUUUGCCUCUCACUCGGGGGCUUAGCUGCAGCCCAGUGCUCGUCUAAGUGAUAAAAAUCCUACCGAGUGAUGAGUCUACCUCUCACUCGGGGGCUUAGCUGCAGCCCAAUGCUCGCCUAAGUGAUAAAAAUCCUACCGAGUGGUGAGUCCGCUUCCCACUCGGGGGCUUAGCUGCAGCCCAGUGCUCGCCUAAGUGAUAAAAAUCCUACCAAGUGGUGAGUCUGCUUCUAACUCGGGGGCUUAGCUGCAGCCCAGUGCUCGCCUAAGUGAUAAAAAUCCUACCGAGUGGUNNNNNNNNNNNNNNNNNNNNNNNNNNNNNNNNNNNNNNNNNNNNNNNNNNNNNNNNNNNNNNNNNNNNNNNNNNNNNNNNNNNNNNNNNNNNNNNNNNNNNNNNNNNNNNNNNNNNNNNNNNNNNNNNNNNNNNNNNNNNNNNNNNNNNNNNNNNNNNNNNNNNNNNNNNNNNNNNNNNNNNNNNNNNNNNNNNNNNNNNNNNNNNNNNNNNNNNNNNNNNNNNNNNNNNNNNNNNNNNNNNNNNNNNNNNNNNNNNNNNNNNNNNNNNNNNNNNNNNNNNNNNNNNNNNNNNNNNNNNNNNNNNNNNNNNNNNNNNNNNNNNNNNNNNNNNNNNNNNNNNNNNNNNNNNNNNNNNNNNNNNNNNNNNNNNNNNNNNNNNNNNNNNNNNNNNNNNNNNNNNNNNNNNNNNNNNNNNNNNNNNNNNNNNNNNNNNNNNNNNNNNNNNNNNNNNNNNNNNNNNNNNNNNNNNNNNNNNNNNNNNNNNNNNNNNNNNNNNNNNNNNNNNNNNNNNNNNNNNNNNNNNNNNNNNNNNNNNNNNNNNNNNNNNNNNNNNNNNNNNNNNNNNNNNNNNNNNNNNNNNNNNNNNNNNNNNNNNNNNNNNNNNNNNNNNNNNNNNNNNNNNNNNNNNNNNNNNNNNNNNNNNNNNNNNNNNNNUAGUUUCAGCCCAGUACUCGCCUGAGUUUGAAAAAUCCCAUCGAGUGGUGAGCAAUCCUCCCACUCGGAGGCUUAGCUGCAGCCCAGUGCUCGCCUAAGUUUGAAAAAUCCUACCGAGUGGUGAGCAAUCCUCCCACUCGGAGGCUUAGCUGCAGCCCAGUGCUCGCCUAAGUUUGAAAAAUCCUACCGAGUGGCGAGCGAUCCUCCCACUCGGGGGCUUAGCUGCAGCCCAGGGCUCGCCUAAGUUUGAAAAAUCCUACCGAGUGGUGAGCAACCCUCCCACUCGGGGGCUUAGCUGAAGUCCCGUACUCGCCUAAGUUUGAAAAAUCCUACCGAGUGGUGAGCAACCCUCCCACUCGGGGGCUUAGCUGCAUCCCAGUGCUCGCCUAAGUUUGAAAAACCUUACCGAGUGGUUGACAGGAGCGUCAAGACCAUUGCGGAGUGCCUUGUUGAUGAGCUGAUCAAUGCUACUCAAGGAUCACCCAAUCGGUUGACAGGAACAUCAAGACCAUUGCUGAGUGCCUUGCUGAUGAGCUGAUCAAUGCUACUCAAGGAUCACCCGAUCGGUCGACUGGAAUGUCAAGACCAUUGCUGAGUGCCCUACUGAUGAGCUGAUCAAUGCUACUCAAGGAUCACCCAAUCGGUUGACAGGAACAUCAAGACCAUUGCUGAGUGCCUUGCUGAUGAGCUGAUCAAUGCUAAUCAAGGAUCACCCGAUCGGUCGACUGGAACGUCAAGACCAUUACUGAGUGCCUUGCUGAUGAGCUGAUCAAUGCUACUGAAGGAUCGCCCGAUCGGUCGAUUGGAACAUUAAGACCAUUGCUGAAUGCCUUGCCGAUGAGCUGAUCAAUGUUGCUCAAGGAUCGCCCGAUCGGUCGACUGGCCAUUCUCCUCCAGAAGCUGCAUCAAGUAAGCAGACGACAAUCCAAGAGGAAAACGAUUUCGUUCGAAGACAGACACAAUAUAUGAGAUGAUAAACCCAAAGGUUCUUAACCGCAGAAUAAAGUGCUCGGGCAUCAGGCCCGAAGGAGUUUUAACGGUUACAAAAUCACUUGGCAUUCCGAGGCGAAUAAAAGUGAGGCAUAAUGUUUUUCAGUCACUCAGCGGGAGAAGGACUGGCCGGAUCGCAGAAGCUGUCGAGGUUGAUGCUAUCGGCGAUGCGAGUGGCUGCCUCGAGAAAGGUGUCCAUGAAGUCCUGGAAGGAGUGCUUCUUAGUGUUCGCCACUUUGAGAGCUGCCAGCUUGUCUUCCUUAGCCUCAUUGCAGUGCACUCGGACCAAAGACAAGGCGACAUUGGCACCGCAGUGGGCUGAAGAUUUCUUCCACUCUUGCACUCGGCCUGGAAUAUGAUUUAGUCGAGUCAUCAGGGACUCUAGGUCUUGAGAUAGCUCCAUCCGAGGCCAGAGUUCAGCAUCCACUUGAGCCAUCGCCGCCUUCAGCCGAGCGAGAUAAGCAACCACACCAUCUAAGCGCGACUCCAAUCGAAGCAGAUUCAUUGUAGUGUCAUCUUUCACAGGACAGUUGAUGGGGUCGAGACCCGUCUCAACCCGCCAAAUUUCGGCCUCAAAGUCCUGACAUAGUUCUGUCCCAUUGGGAGAAGUGGUGAGUCGAUGACAUGGCAACAAAGUUUAGUCGACAACAAGUUAAUCGUAGUCGACUGAUCAUACCUUCAAGCUUCAGAACAAGUUUGGCGGAGAGUUGCUCUAGAUAGGACUCUAGCUUGUCUGUCUUGGUCUUGAGGCCGCCGACUUCAGUGGUUAGAUUCUCGUUGUCCUUCUUCAGCUGCUCGACUUCUCGAUUAGCGUCUGAGAUGGCAGUCUUCAACUUCGCGUUCUCCUCCUCCAAUUUGCUGACCAAAGCCAGCUUCUGGUCCGCAAGCUUCGUCUUCUCGCGUGCCUCCUUCUGAGCAGCUGCCAGAUCCAGCUCCUUCUGCUCCAAAGCCUCCUUCAUCCUCUCUAAAGUAACAACACUCUUCAGACGAGACUAAAGUUGGCGAUUUUCACUGCGCACAUCUGCUUGUGUGAAAUCACUCGGUUCAAAGAGACUGAAAGAAAAACCAGUGCGAAGUGUGAAGCUACAAAGCAAACAAAAUGGUCGAGUGAUUACCUCCCAUAAUGGCCAUUUCUUCUUGAGCAGUCUUUAGAUUCUUCUUCGCAAGUUUGAGAUCAAGUUCAACGCUGAUAUGCUUCUUCUUUAAUUCGGUGAGCCGAGCUCCAAGAUCACAAGACCUCUGCAGCCAGAAAGACAUACAUCUCAGUCGACAAAUAUAAGCGACAGUGAAGGAGAAGAAUUACUCUAAGACUACUACCGAAUCAAAUAUUCAACAGUAGUCUCGGGGACUACACCCAGUGGGUGCACUUAGCGUGCCCCCACUGGAUCAGACCAAUACUCAGCGAGAGUAGCCCAGCAAAAAAGAGAGAAAGAGAUACAUCAUAAGACCUCAACCGACUGCGAGCAGCCGACUGUGGUCUCGGGGACUACACUCAGUGGGUGCACUCGACGUGCCCCCACUGAUUCGAAAAGUGCAGAAUUGAAGAUUUACUGAUUUCUAAACGAAGGAACACCCAGUGGGUGAUCAGAUAUAAAGCAACACUCAAAAGCUCAGUCGGAAUUUUGCCGACCUGAACAUUGGUCUGAAUGGCAGUGCUGACGUUGUAAGCUACCUGACUCCAUGACAAGAUUCAUGACAAGAUUCACCUGGCGAAGAGCUUCUCUAGCGGCGCCCGACGAGUCGUUUGGAGUUUGAUAUGUAGCAAAGAGGGACGGCUCCAGAAUGGUCGAAGUAGUUACCGUGUCAGACGAGUGGAGUUGCGCCGGUGCAGCAGGUGUCUGUGCAGUCGACCCCGACGGACGAUCAGUCAUCAACGGGUUAGCUCAUGUGACGUUGGUCCGAACUAUCGCCUCAGGCGCCGGUGUCGACUGGGGGACUUGGACUUCAAGCUUCCUCCUGCUUGAGCCUCCACUCUUUUCCUCCUCUCCUGUGGAGGCACUUCUUCUUCUUCGUCAUCAGGAAGCACAACGAUAUCUUGCGGGGAUACAUAAGAAGAGAAGUAUCAAAAUUUCAGUCAAUUGACCAUCCACUCGACUAAACAGAUCUUGGUUGAACGAACUUACUAGCUCGUGAGGUGGCCUCUUCGUCUCCUGGUGCCUUGUCAAUGUCCAUGUCAGUGGCAGCAGAGGUGGGGCUGGAAGGACACUAGAAUUGGUCGGUCACAUCAAGAAAAUCUUUAGUCGACCUACGGAAACACAAACAAGAUACCUACCCUAAGGCAACGGGGACGUCCAUCUUGAUUCGCGGCAAUGUCUUCCGGGCCUUGGGAGGAGCAACUUUAGGCUACUUGGCCACCUUCUCCGCCGGCUCCAGAGUUGACGUCCGAGUGCGCUUCUGAGUAAUGGCACUCGGACCCACGCUUUUCCUGCGCCCGCUAGCCGGAUCUUGCUGCUGUUUGGAUCGACGUUGGGAGCGCGGCGUCGAGUCGACUUCCUCCUCCUUGUCCGACUCCUCGCUCUCCUCCUCCUCAUAUUCUCUCUGAGAAUCCCACUCACCACUCUCUUCCGCGCUGUCCUCCCCCUCCUGGACCUGUUCCAAAGCUUGUUCACCAUUGGGCAUCGAAUGCAUCUCAGUGAAUACCUGAAGAACAAAUUGGUCGAACAAGAGUCGGUCAACAUCAAGUGCAGUCGGAGCAUGAAUGGGAAGCGGCUGGAACAAAAAUCAUACCUUGUCGGGUGGGUUCACGCUGCUGAAGGGAACAACUUGCCUAGAUCCUCUGGGAUUGUCUUGGUUGCCUGUGAUGCCCCUCAGCCACAAAGCUACUGUUUCGGACGACACUUCUUAUGGGUGGACCCGAGCAGUGUCGUCCGGUCCAGAAUACAACCACAUUGGAUGAUCGCGAGCUUGGAGAGGUUGGAUGCGUCGACUGAGGAACACUUCCAGCAAGUCCAUGCCGGUAACACCAUCAUUGAUGAGCUGGACCACCAAUCCACCAACAUCCUCGUUUCCAUGGUCUCAUCAGCAGUUACUUUCAGUGGGGCAGGAGUCUGAACACGGUCAAACGAGAAGGGGGGAAGACCAGUCGACUGACCUGGAGCUGCGACGUCCUGGCAGUAGAACCAGGUCGACUGCCAGCCCCUAACAGAUUCAGGGAGAGUCAUGGUGGGAAAGGCACUCCUGUGCCUCUUUUGGAUACCUAAACCCCCACACAUUUGGAUGACAUGGGUUUUUGAGUCACUCGACUUUGCCUUUUUUACCGACUGAGAACGAAUGGUGAAGAUGUGUUUGAAAAGACCCCAGUGCGGUCGACACCCUAAGAAGUUCUUGCACAUCGAUACAUAUGCAGCUAAAUAGGUGAUGGUGUUGGGAGAAAAGUGGUGCAGCUGAGCGCCAAAGAAGUUCAAGAAUCCUCGGAAGAAAGGAUGCGGAGGGAGCGAGAAACCCCGGUCGACGUGGGUGGCGAGCAGAACACACUCACCCAGUUGAGGUUGCGGCUCCAUCUCCCCCUUCGGCAACCUCGCCGCUCCCUUGGCGAUCAAUCCGGACUCCUCCAGUUCAGCUAGAUCCUCCUGCCGGAUUGAAGGCCCGAUCCAAUCGCCCUGGAUCCAGUCCGGCGGUAGCCCCACACGCGAUGACGACCUGCGAGCCUGCUUCUUGCCUUUCGCCGCCCCCGUCGCCUUCUUUGCACGCUCUAGCGCCGCCAUCUUGUCCUUCACCGUGGCUGGAGAGCAGCAGCGUCGAGAGCAGAGGAGCUAGGCAUGGUGGAGAAGCAGAGGAGAAGGAAGAAGGAACAGGCGAGCACAGUACCAGCACCUCGGACCCGUCGCCUUAUAAAGGGCCAUCUCCGAGUGACUGACGCGUGGGACCAGGCAAUCCUGUCAAAUCCCGGAACAGUUGUGCACAACGUACAUGGCGAAAAAGGCAGCAUGGUAAUCGAGGCAUCGCUACUUAUCUGGCCCGCUUGUUUCGGCGCUCUCCACCCCGCGCGCUUCCCUGAAAUUUCGUAUCCCGUGAAAUCCGGGAUACACUGCAGGCAAUCACGCCUGAGAUCCCACGCCCUAGCAUGGCACUCGACACAUGAGGUCGCCAGUUCAAUCGACAGUUCACUGAAUGGAUCAAGGUGACUGAAUCAACACCGACGUUCAGUCUCGCAGAAUAUACUCGUGAAGACACAAAGCUCAGAGCGGAUUCAACUUCAACCUACUUUUCACUCAUACCUUAAUGCAUUCGGGGGCUACUGAUGAGGAUACAGACCUAGGGUAGGGCCAUAGGCCUGACCUAUACGUCCUACCCAAGGUCACUACCCAAGAAGGCAAGAAGGUCAAGAGACUCCGUGAGACCCCCGGUCAAAGGUGUCGAGUGCAAUCCACUCGAUGCCAUGUCACUCGGGAGUCUCCCUACCUACCGUCACUCGACUAACAAGAGAAUCACUUGACCUCCCGAAGACCAGGAGUCACUCAGCGUACGACGGUCGCGCAUUCAUUCCGUAGUCUUUAAGGCCAUUAAUAGCACUUAAGGCUGGUGUUACCAGUAACGCCAGCACUUUAUGUACAUUUAGUCCCUUGUAAUGGAGGGCGAGAGAGGUCCUGGUGAACUCUAUAUAAGCCACCCUCCUCCUCUGGCACAAAGGUUGGCACCCCCUGUAAUAUCACUCACAGAAUCCAAUCAACCGCCUCCGGGCACCAAGACAUAGGGCUGUUACUUCCACCGAGAAGGGCCUGAACUCGUAAACUCCGUGUGUACACCUUUGCCAUAGCUGAGAUCUUGCCUCUCCAUACCUACCCUCCUUUCUACUGUCAGACUUAGAACCAUGACAGACAGAUCUUCGUAUUCGGCGGCUUCGUACUGCGGGCCAACUCGCUUGGCCAUCUGGAGCAGAUCGAUAGGUACGCCCCUGGCCAUCAGGUCAGGUUUGGAAGCCUGAACUACACCGCCGACAUCCGCAGAGACUUGAUCUUUGACGGAUUUGAGCCCUUGACAGGUGCGCCGAACAGUCACGAUGAGCAUGACUUAGAUCGGCCAUCGGGCGGCGUUCAAGAGAUCACACCUGCGGUUGCCCCGGCUCUUAAUCCGGAGCAGAUCGUGCCAUCCGAGGACGGGUGGAUAGACCUGGCCACGGAAGCCGCACACUCAUCAGCGCCAGAGCCGAACACAGACUUCACCUCUAAAGAAAUCUGUGUCAUCGGACCCUCGGACUCGUCUCUGGCCAUAGGUUCCAAAUCACAUGCGUUCGUGCCUAUCGAAUCUGAUUGGGCACCGAUCAUGGAGUUUACCUCCGCUGAUAUCUUUCAGCACUCACCCUUGGGCGACGUGCUAAAUUCACUGAAGUCUCUCUCUUUGUCAGGAGACUCUUGGCCGAACUAUGUCCGGCUUGAGUGGGAAGCGGAUGACGAAGAAAUUCGUUUCCCACCCACCACCACUUAAUAGCAACCGUCAACGACUUAACCAACAUGCUUGAUUUCGACUCCGAAGACAUCGACGGUAUGGACGACGAUGCCGGAUAAGAACAGGAACCACCGCCUUUAGGACGCUGGACAGCCACCUCAUCAUAUGAUAUAUAUAUGGUGGACAUCCCCAAAGAAAACGAUGGCGAUGAGGCAACGGAGGAUAAUCCCCUUGAGAAGCAUUCUAAGCACCGGCGUCAUUGGUGCUGCUCUAAGCCCCGCCAUAACAAAAAUAGUGAUACCAGCACAAGAGAUGAUAGCAAUCUGGAUGGUGCCGAAGACGGAAAUAAUCCUGCCCAGCCAGGCUUCGAGCAGGCCGAGCGGGAGGAUGGGCAAGCUAGCCCUAAGGAACAAGCAACGAAUGGAGAAUCAGAGGAUGAUAAUUGCACGCCCCUCUCCGAAGAUGAAGCGAGCCUUGACGAUGAAGAAUUCAUCGUGCCUGAGGAUCCCGUCGAGCAGGAGCGCUUCGAGCGCCGGCUUAUAGCCACUACAAAAAGCGUGAAGAAGAAGCAGCAACAGUUUCAAGCUGAUCAAGAUCUGCUAACUGAUAGAUGGACUGAGGUCCUGGCAGCCGAGGAAUACAGACUCGAACGCCCUAACAAAAGUUACCCAAAGUGCAGGUUACUACCUCAACUCGAGGAGGAAGCAUUAAAGCCUACACUACUAGCGCAUGAUGCGGCUGACCGGCCACCUCGUGGCCGAGACAAAGCGGCGUAUCAGCCCGAAGUCCAGCCCACACCCCGUCGCUAAUCAAGCAAAACACUAAGGCCCGGGGCUACACACAGGACCUGUGAGACGUAUCGGAAAACAACGGAGGACAGUCAAGAUCGAUCUACGGAUCACGGGGGCGCACCCCAACGCGUGAUGAUGACUGUCACACCGGAUAUACUAAAAACAAA
rnacentral:lncRNA from 1 species